rnacentral:lncRNA from 1 species
UUCUCUUAUAAACAGAAAUUUUGGGUUAUGCGUAAAUACUUUUUGUAACGUAAAAACAAAAUAAAUUCAUUCAUAUUGUAGAACAAUAAGCUAUUAAAUUUACAAUAUCAAGUGGGCCCACAAUAACUAGAAUUAAAGAAGCUGUGAACCUACAGUUUGGAAGAUGCAAUCCAAUGGAAAUCCCCGAUGGAACCAGCUAUCUACAGACUACUUUGUUCCUAGAAUGGGUGGAAAUGAGGGUGGUGAGAUUAUAAAAUUCCAGUGAGUAAACAAACACCAUUUAAAUAAGCUAAAGCCGAGUAAAAGGAGACAAUUAAAAUAUCCCAUCAUUUUAAGUAUUUCACAAUUUGAAAAUUCAUCCCAACCCAUACAAACGAUUGUAUUUCAUUUAAUUUCUCAUUAGGGCUUAUGACUUUUAUAAACAGUUGGCUCAUGCCAUCAAAUAUACUCGAUGACACCUUGAUUAGAGGCGUACACUCGAGCCCGCCAAGGCUAUUAAAAUUUUGUAUACUCGUAAAACAUAUUUUUAGUUUGAAAAACACAGCCAUUCCUUGGCGUUAGCAGAGUUCAUCAUCACGAGGUGGUUCGGCAUGACGUGAACUCUGUCCAUACCUCAGGAGAUACCCUACGCGCCUCUCCGAUCGAAGUACAUAUAUAUAUAUAUAUCUAGAUUUCGUGCCCCUUUAAUAGGCUGAUCCACAGAAUCCGCCUACUGCAGCAAGCUAAACCCACCAUACAAUAAAAUUUUGACAGCAUGACAGGGCUAAUAUUUACUACCCAGCUUGCAAGGGUAAAAUAAAAUAAUUCGUAUAAUUCAUAAAACACAGCCCAACCAGUCAUGCCAACACAAUAACAAUAUAACAUAAGCCAUCAAUUUCUAAUCAUAAAUUUGCAACAUACUAGUGGUCUCCAAUUACUCUAUUUUCCAAAUCGUUAUUUCGUUUCAAGACAAUUUAUGAAGUCUUUUCAUUUAAACACAUUUUGUUUACAAAACAUAAAAAUUUACCAUUUUAACUCAUUUUCAUAAAAUUCACCAAAACCGAAUAAAAACAUACUUUAGAUAAUUAAAAAGAUGGUAAGGUUACUCACAAUGUCUAGAGUGGAGAUUUUCGAAAUACUCAGACUACUGGUCCUCGGAUGCAAUUCCCUUGCCUUUAUCGGAGGACUCACCAACUUGACACAGUACAAAAUCGAGAAAUUCACCACAUUGGUACUAAAUUGAAAUUAAACUAAUUUAGACUAGUAAUGCGUGAUAUGGAAUGCAAAAGGUCUAAAUUUUGCCUAAACACCGUAUUGACCUAUUUUGGUCUUUUACCCGAUAAAUUGAAAUGCGCAUCCUAUUUAGCUCCAAUUGAUCCCAUUUCUUUUUCUAAUGCUUCAAAUCACCAAUGUCCAGCCAAAUAACCCAAAAAUCAGCAAAGCCACAUUCAUAUUCCUUCUUGGAAAAAUUCGGCCAAAAUGGUGCAUCAUUGUCACAAUUUUUCCUACUUGAUUUUCUUUCCAUAAUUCAUUAAUUUCCAUAUCAAAAACCAUGAUUUCAUAAUCAAAUAACCUAAAAUAACAUCACAUUCUUCCUCACCAUUGACUUGAAAAUUCAGCUAAGGCUAGGUAAUGGGAAAAAUGAAUGUUUUUCUACAUAUUUUGUUUACUAACAUGCUAAACUAACACUAAACACUAACAUAUAUCAAAAUCAAAUCAAUCCAACAAUUUUCUCUCUCUAGACCCAUAUGACCAGCCAUGAAAACAUGCAAUUUAAUCAUGAAAAAUAAGGAGAAAUGCUUGGGAAUAAGAAAACUCAAGCUUAAUAGAAAAAAUCUUACCUUUUUCACUUAAUUUCCUUGAAAAUUCAUACUUUUUCUUUGAUUUUCUCUCUCUAGGGUUUGGUUUUUGUUUUCUCUCUCUUCUUGCUGGUUUGGCCGACCAUGGGUGGAAGAUGGGCUGGUUUUUGUGCCUUUUAAAAAGGAAAAUUAAUAAAUUAAUAAGGCAUGACACGUGGCAUCAUGUCAUUAGCCCGUUUUUAAUUUCUUAACUAUUAAGUUUUCUCUCUCUACCACUUAAAUUCCUUCAAUUAUCCAUGAUAAUAUUGGAUAAAAUCCAUGUGCUGGAUAAGUGUCGGGUGCUUAAAAUUACAAUUUUGCCCCUAAGGUGGCAAAAUUACCAUUUUACCCUUAUGCUCCAAAAAUACCAAGAUUAUUAUUUUUUUUUCACUUAUCAACCUCAAAUUAUACUCCAAUGAGUCAAAUGUGAUCAAUCUUGAUCAAAAACUUCUUCCAGUAUUUCAAUUUUAUCCUCAAGUGGCAAAAUUACCAUUUUACCCCUAAGUAGUGAAAAUUUUGAUUUGACUCCAAAUUGAUCCUCGAACUCUAAAUCACCAUAUUAAACCAUUCUGGGACUUUAAUAUUCUUAAUUUCAUCUUAAAUUCUCUAUUUGAUCUAGUUCGAGGCUUAAAUCAACUUUGUUGUACCUCUAGGUACAAUAUCGGCUUUUGUCAAUUUUUCGAGACUCUCCUAGCAUGCAAACAUGCUAUCCACCACAUGUAUGUCAUGAUAAUUAUUUUAUAGAGUUAGGCUUGACAUCUUCUCCCCCACUUGGAUCAACCAUAAGAUCCUUCUUCAUGACUGAUUUCGAUAUCCUGCUAAAUAUUAAUAUUUUAAUAUUAUUUUAUUAAUAAAAUAUUAUUCUAUUCUAAAAAUUUUAUCUUGUCUCCUUGGUUGCCAAAGUUCCUUAUUAUACCUCAAUUGACCUCCGAAUCACCCUUUUAUCUCUCAAAUUCUCCUCCGAUAAAAUAUUAUUAUUUUAUUAUUAUUUACUCGCGUGCGAAAUAUUUUGUUAUAAAUUAUUCCUUUCAUCUUUUAUGACUUUUAAACAUUUUAAUUGACCUCAAUUUGCAUCCGAUCAACUUUAUUAGUCACUAUUUCAAAGUAUGGGGCAUUUCAACUAGGAUGUCCAUAUACAUAGGGUAAUAGAUUAUGAGAUAUGGGAUGUCAUUACCGAUGGUCCUUUCAUUCCAAUGAUUACAAAUUCGGUAAAUGGUGAGACAACUCCCAAACAUAGAAGUAAGUGGACAGAAGUUGAAAUAAAGAGAGUACAAAUCAACUUUAAGGCUAUGAAAACCUUUAUUUGUGCACUUAAUUAUAGAGCAUAUGAUAAAGUGUUCAUGUGCAAAAGUGCCAAGGAAAUUUGACAAAAAUUAGAAGAGUUAUAUGAAGAAUCAAAGAAAGCUAUGGUGGCUGCAACAUGGUCUGACAGUAAUGCUUCAAGUUCUGAUGCUGAAGAAGAUAAAGUGGAAGAAAGAGCAAACUUAUGUUUAAUGGCAAAAGAUGAUGAAUCCGAGGUAUCUUCUACUCCUUGUAAUAUUUCAAUUGAUGAACUACAAGAGGAGUAUGAAUGUCUUUAUGAUGAAUUUGAGAAACUUGCAUCAAAAUAUAAAGCUUUGAAAAGAAAAACUGCAUCUCUUGAGAUUAACUUGCAAAAGAUAAGACAUGAUUUCAAUUCUGUUUUUGAACAAAGAAAUUUUCUGUAAAUUAAAUUAGAACAUUCAAAAAUAGCUUUGAAACUCUAAAAUUGGAAUUGAAAAACAGAACAGAAGCUUUGCAAAAAGCAAUUGAUGAAAAUGUUGUUCUUAAGAGUUUGAGAAAAGAAUCAUCAAGAAAGAACACAAAUUUUAGAAGAAAUGCUAAUGAUUUCUCUCAUAGAUGCUAUAUAUGUGAUAGAAUUGGUCAUUUAUUUUAUGACUAUCGUAAAAAAAGAAGUAUGCAGAAAAUAAGAAAAAUUUGGGUUCCAAAAGGAUUUUAUGUUGCAACUAACCUUUAAGGACCCAUCAAGGUAUGGGUACUUGUCAAGAAAAACUGAAAAUUUGUUUUGUAGGUUGAGCUGCACUUAAAGGAGACAUGUUCAAGAGCUCAACUCAAGAAGAAGCAGCCUUGGUAUAUGGACAGUGGCUGCUUAAGGCACAUGACAAGAGAUGAAAUGCUAUUUGCUAAGCUGGACAAAAGAAAGGGACGAACCGUAUCCUUUGGUGAUGAUUCAAAAGGUAGAAUCCAUGGUAUAGGAAUGGUUGGUGAGAACUCCCAAACUCAAAUCAGUCAUGUGUUAUUGGUUAAAGGCUUGAAACAUAAUUUAUUGAGCAUCAGUCAUUUUUGUGAUAAAGGAUUUAAAAUAUGCAUUGAUUCAAAUAAGUGUGAAGUGAUAGAUAUAAGCACUAAUAAAGUCUCAUUUAUAGGAAGAAGAUUAAAGAAUAUGUAUGUUGUAUUUUUUGAAGAUUUUGAAAUUAAUUGUGAAAUGUGUUUAGUGGCAAAUGCUGAAAAUGAUAGCUGGCUAUGGCAUAGGAGAUUAGGACAUGUGAGUAUGCAUACUAUGUCAAAAUUAAUUAAGAAAAAUUUAGUUAUUGGACUGCCGGAUAUAAAAUUUGAAAAUGAUAAAAUAUGUGAUGCUUGCCAACUAGGAAAACAAGUUAGAACAUCCUUUAAGACUAAAAAGAUUGUGUCAACAACUAUACCUCUUGAAUUACUGCACAUUGAUCUAUGUGGUCCUAUAAGUACAACUAGUGUAGGAGGAAAAGCUUAUGGCUUUGUAAUAGUUGAUGAUUACUCUAGAUACACUUAGGUUUAUUUCCUUGCUCAUAAGAAUGAUGCUUUACCAGCAUUCAUAAGUCAUUGUAGGAAGGUUGAAAAUGAAAAAGGACUAGCUAUAGUUAGUAUUAGGAGUGAUCAUGGAGGUGAAUUUGAAAGAGAUGAAUUUGAGAAUUUUUGUAACGAAAAGGGGUUGGAUCAUAAUUUUUCUGCAUCUAGAGCACCCCAGCAAAAUGGUGUUAUAGAGAGGAAAAACCGAACCUUAAAAGAAAUAGCUAGAACUAUGCUAUGUGAGAAUAACUUACCAAAAUAUUUUUGGGCUAAGGUAGUGAACACAAUAGCAUAUAUACUUAAUAGAGUCAUGAUAUCAAAGACUCCAUAGGAACUUUACAAGGGUAGGAAACCAAAUAUUUCACACCUUAGGAGUUUUGGUUGUAAAUGUUUUGUGUUAAAUAAUGGAAAACAGUCCUUAGGUAAGUUUGAUGCAAAGAGUGAUGAGGUAAUAUUUUUAGGAUAUGCAUUAAACUCAAAGGCUUAUAGAGUUUUCAAUAAAAGAACUUUAAUUGUUGAAGAAUCAAUCCACGUAGUUUUUGAUGAGUCCAAUGCCUUACAAAAGGAAAUUCAUGUUGAUGAUGAUGAUGUAGAGAUCCUAGAAAAGCAAAUGGAAGAAAUGAGCUUAGAGAACAAUAAGAAUAAUGAAGAAAGCUCACCUAGAAGAGAAAAUGAAACUCCACCUCUAGAAAAUUUGUAAAGAACAGAAAUUUAGCAUAAUGAUCUUCCAAAGAAUUGGAGAUAUGCAAAAGACCAUCCACAACAACAAAUCAUAGGUGACAUUUCUCAAGGUGUUAAAACUAAGAGAGCAACAAGAGAAACUUGUGAGUUUUCAGCUUUCAUAUAUCAAAUUGAGCCUAAAACAUUUGAGAAAGUAGAAAAGAGGAAAGCUGGAUAUUUGCCAUGCAAGAGGAACAUGAUCAAUUCAAAAGAAACCACAUAUGGUCACUAGUCUCUAGGCCUAUGAAUCACCCUAUUGUUGGAACAAAAUGGGUGUUUAGAAAUAAGGUAGAUGAGCAAGGAAAUGUAGUUAGAAAUAAAGCUAGGCCAGUAGCUCAAGGAUACAACCAAGAGGAAGGAAUUGCCUAUGAUGAAACCUUUGCACUGGUUGCUAGGAUUAAAGCCAUAAGGUUGUUGCUUGCUUUUGCAUGCUUUAUGAAUUUUAAAUUGUACCGAAUGGAUGUAAAAAGUGCAUUUUGAAAUGGAUUCAUUCAAGAGGAAGUGUAUUGUCUUGCCUUACCUUAUAAAGUACUUUCCAUGUCCUUCAUGUGAUUGACAAUAUGCUUGCAUACUUGGAAAGCCUCGAAAAAUCGUCAAAAGUCGAUAUUGUACCAAAUGGUACUAUUAAGUUGAAUUAAGCCUCGAACUAGUCUAAAUAGAGAUCUUAAGAUGAAAUUAAGAAUUUUAAAACCCCAGAUGACUUAAAAUGAUGAUUUAUAGUUCGAGGGUUGAAUUAGAGUCAAUUUGGAAUUUUCAUGUUCUAGGGGUAAAAUGGUAAUUUUAUCACUCAAGGACAAAAUGGGAAUUUUUAGAAAAGAUUUUGAUCACAUUUGACUCAUUGGAGUAUGAUUUGAGUUUGAGAGGUGAAAAGUUAUAAUUUCGGCAUUUUUUCGAGCAUAGGGGCAAAAUAGUCAUUUUACCGCCUAAGGGCAAAAUAGUAAUUUUACACCACCUAGCACUUGUCCAGCACAUGGAUUUUACCCAAUAUUAUCAUGGAUAAUUGAGGAAAUUUAAGUGGUGGAGAGAGAUUGCUUAAUGGCUAAGUAUGACACAUGGACCAAUGAAAUGGUGACAUGUGUCAAAAUCUCAUCCAUUUAUUAUUUUCCUUAUAAAUUAGCACAAAAUCAGCCCAUUUCUCACCCAUAUGGCCAGCCAAAGCAUGAAGUGAAGAGGAAAGGAAAGACCACAAACCCUAUGUGGGAAAAUUGAAGAAAAGUGUGGGAUUUCAAGGGAUUAAGCUAAUAAAGGUAAAAUUUUGUGAUUUUAUCUUGUGAUUUACAUUACCCAUGCUUUCUUUUUCAUUUUCCAUGCUUAGAACUCAAGUUUACAUGAUGAACCCAUGUUGGCUGAAUUUGAGAGGAGAGGUUUUGAGCAUUGAUUUUGCUAGAUUUCAAGCUAAUUAAGUGUUUUUGGUUGUUUGGUAAUGAAAAGUAUGAAAAUCUAGCAAGGAAUCACUUUGUUCUUCACAAACUCACAAGAGGCCAAAUUUUCUAGGGAGCAUAUUGAGGCUGAAAUUGAUGAUAUUUCACGAUAUUUUGGUGGUAUUUAAUGAUUGGUGAGGCUAGAAAUUUAAUGGGAAAUUUUGGCAUGAAAAUCUGAAUUUUUACCUAAUGUAUAGACAUGUGCGAUUUAUGGUUCGGACUAAUAAAUUGAAUCAUAUUCAUAGUCAUUGAGGUAUUUUAAGUAUAAUUGGAGUGUAGAAAGUGAAAGAAAUCGAUUUGGAGUUAAAUUGGAGGUUUUAGCCAAUUACAUUGAGAAUAGUGCGAAUUAGGUCGAAUACCGUAUUUAAACAGCUAUUCGGACAUUUUGCAUCACAUUUCGUGCAUUCAUAUAAAGAUAUAGAGCCUGAAAUAGUUUAUGAUAAAUUGACACAAUUUAUUGAAAUUCGUGUCACGUAUGAUAAAUAGGUGGUGAGCCCUCUAAUAAAGGUAAAGAGAUUGUGCCCGAAGAUCGGGAAUAGAAGUAUAUCGAACUCCUAGUACUGUGAGUAAACUUACUAUCGUCUUAAUUAUCUAAAGUAUGUUUUAUCCGAUUUUGUGACUUUUAUGGAAAAUGAAUUAAAUGAUUAAUUUUUCGAUUUUAUAAACAAAAUGUGAUUUAAUGAAAUGAUUUCAUAAAAUUGUUUUAAAAUUGAAUGAUGGUUUGAAAAUAGAGUAAUUGGAGACUGUUUUCAUGUGUUGUAAAUUCAUGGCUUGAAUCAAAUGGCUUAUGACAAUAUUUGCAUGAAUGGCUGAAUUGGUAUUUGUGUUGAAAUAUAUAUGAAUUAUGUAUUUAGCCUUGAAAGGUUGUGAAUUACAAUAAUUGUCAUAUCAUGUUAUUGAAUUUUAUUGAUUGGUGAGAUAAUUAUUAGCUUACUGCAGUGAGCGAGUUUCGUGGACCAGUCUAUUAGAGGGGCACGAUAACCUCGUUAUAUCUUACCUUAGUAUGAGAGGCACGGGUGGUUAACUCCUGAGGUUAACACUUUUAGAGUUCACUUCACGUCAAACCACCACUUGAGUGGGAACUCAGCCAAUGCCAAGGAACGGCUAUGUUUUCAAAAUAAAAACAUGAUUUAUGCGUACAUAACUUUUUAACAGCCUUGGCAGACUCGGUUUGGGAUAGCCGUCGGCCAAGGUAUCCCUAAUGACUGAUUAUGAUAAUGAUUUUGGCACAAGCCAAAGUUUUAAGAAAUUCAUAAGCCAUGUUAAUUAGUCGAUUUAUAUGAAUUGAUUUUAUUUGGUUGAAACAAGUUGAAAGGUGAUGAAUUUUAGUAUGUUAAACUAUUUUAUCUGUCUCAAUUUACUCGACUUUAGAUGGUUUAGAUGGUAUCUGUUUACUCAUUGGGAUUUUAUAAUCUCACCACCCUUCUUUUCAACCAUUUCAGGCCCGAGGUAGCCUGUGGAUAGCAGAAAUUUUCAAGGAUUAUAGUCGGCUUUACUACUCCAAAAACUGUGGGUUUACUGCCUUUGUGCAUUUUUGUUCCUUGUGGGCCCACGAGUCACUGUAAAGUAAAUUUCAUAUCCCGGUUAUCUGUAUUAUAGUAUGUAUGAAUUUAUUUAUCUUUUACAUUACAAAAAUAAUUUACCGAUGACUCUAUAAAUAUUGUUUUAAAGAAAUUAAAAUAUUUUAUUGAAUAUUUUUAUUUUAUUCAAAUAGUUGCAAUAUCAUUUUUAAUAAAUGUUUUAGACACCCAAAUUUAUUUUAAAUCAUGAAAUAUGUGUUUUCCACUCAUCUACUACAUCUUUAGUCGGGUUUGGAAAAUUUCAAGGAAAAAUGAUGAAAACGCCCCUGUGAGGCGAAAAUUAUUUUUUCACGGUUUUGAAAGGGAAAAAGCUUAAAAUUCUUUAAAAAUGAGGUUUGGCGAUGAUUACUCAUAAGGGAGAUGAAAAAAUAGUACUAAAGCUUUGCGGGGUUUCGGUUGGCACUCCCGGUAACGAAUAUCUACCGGGACGUCGCGGCAGUUGUCACGGGCUUGAGAGGAGUACCGGGUCGUGAUACUCUGCUUGCUAAUAUACUAUCUAUUCAAUUCGUAUACUUGCGUAGUGGAAUUUUAACUGACAAUAGUUUUAAUGAAGUGCUUGAAUUUAAAGUAGUUUUGUCAGAUUAUUUUGAGAAGAUGAAACUGAAAUAUUUUAGUACUUUUAAGAAUCGAUCUUAUAGUGCUAGCUUGGUUAAAUAAUUUUGCUCAAGCAUAGUAGUUGGCAAGGAUGAACUAGAGGAGCUUAAUGAUUAUCUUGAUGAUGGCUUGAAUGUGUUUUUAAAUGGAAAGGAAUUUACUGUGACUGUUACUGAAUUAGGUAGUUUGCUUAAAAUUGAAAGUGAAAAAUGUGAGUUUGAGUUUCUAGAAAACUAUGAUCUCUCAUCCUUAUGGGAAGUGAUUAUAAGAAAGAAAGAGAAAUAUUCUUCUAAGAGUAAUGCUGGUUUGAUCACUAGUCCACAAAUUAGAAUAUUGCAUUACUUUAUUGCUGUUAAUGUUCAUGGAAGAGGAGGAAGUUUUAGCUAUAUCAGUCUUCAGGAUCUAUGGCUAAUGGAAUAUGCCUUCAAUGGCAGUCCAUUGAACCUAGGAAGAUUUAUGAUUGAGAGAAUGAAAGGAGCCUGUUGACUAGAAAAGAUUAAUCUGCCAUAUGGGAAUAUCAUUACUGCACUAGUCCAGAAAAAGGGGAUUUGGAGUUCAAGAUAUGCAUUGGAUCAGGUAGAGAGCAGGGAUCAAUUGAUCUACCUCGAGAGCUUACCUAAGAUGGGAUACAAACUUGAAGGAGAAAAAUAUGUUAAAACUCCCAAAGUAACUCUUGAAGAAGAGUUUUCACUCCUAGCUCAACCAGAGGCAACACCAUCUCAAUUCUCAAAUGAAGUGAUCUUCAACUUGCUUAUGAGAAUUGAUGGAAAGCUCACAGACUAAGGGGCAAAAUUCAAAAAUUGAAGAAAGGUUAAUAGAAAUGGAAAGCAAAAUGAAAGGAAAAGGAAAAAUGACAUCUGAACUUGCAGUUGCAGAUACCUCUGCAACACCAAGCAUCGCACUAGCAGAACAAGGUGCUGAGGGUUCAACUUUCCAAGUAUAAGGGUUUACUUUUCUUGCUACAAGCCCUGUCCUUCAGGCUGAAGGUUUUGCUUCUAAGACUACAAGUCCUGUCCUUCAAACUAAGGACUCUCAACCAGGGAAUGAUCAACUAGAAAAACUCUCUUCACCUGAACCACAAAACAAAGAUGAAUCAGAACAAGGAACAAGUACUUGGUACAUUGGAUGAGAAUGUUCCUUCAUAACCUCAGAAACAGUAACCCUCCCCUCUAAAUUUAGAAGAGGUAUCCAUUAUGGAUGUUUUCCACCAAAUGGUUAGGGAAGAGCAAAUAGAAAAGGAAGCAGCCAAAGCACAAGCUAAGAAGUCAGUGUCUACUGAACCAACACACACAGUAAAGGAAAAAUCAAGUAAAGGAAAGGAAAAAGCUACUGUAGCUCCACAGACCUAAUCCAAACCACCAGGAAAAGGCAUAAAGACAAUGGCCACCAAAUCAAAAUUCCUCAAGAGAAGGAAAUCCUCCAGAUUAGCUAAAAAAGCCAGGCCAACAAUUGUUUCUUCUCCUCAGAAUCUAGUAGAAGUCUCUAACAAGUCCUCACUUGAACCUUCUCCUCAACCUUCACCACAAAAAUCACCACCAGAACCUUCUGAUGAACCCUUCAAUGUCAAAUACUAAAUUGAUGAUGAAUUAUCUCCUUCAUCUUCUUCAAAAGAUGAUUAAACAUCCUUGAGAUUUGAUGAUGACAAAAAAGGGGAGAAGUGGAAAGCUAAGGGAAAAGGGAAAAUCAAUUAAAAAAAAUAUUGGGGUAAAGGUACCAAAAAUCUAGGUAAAAUUUAGGAUGUUGAAUCUGACUAGGCUAUCUAUGGUAGAUGGUCUAUGGUAGUUUGCUGGAAAUUGGAUACUGAUCAUUGUGCUAAGACACUAUUUAUUUAUUUUGUUCUGUUGCUGAUUACCAAUGCUGAAAGUCAGUUAAGACAUUGUUUAUUUAUUUUGGUUUGAUUGUGAAUGGAUGCAAUGCUGAUAAGCUGAUGAUUGAAUAUUUAAAUCUUCCAUUGAGUUUCUGUUGAUGCUUUGGUGCUGAUAUUGAGCUGUUAUGUUGAUAAUUAAUUGUUGAUGUGAUAUUGUGAGUAAAAUUUGGAUGAAAAUAAAUAUGAAUGCUGAUAUUUUUGACUGGAUGGUUUAUGACAUUUAACCUUGGAAUGAAUUAAGUUUGGAAACAAUACGACAAACAGCAAGCUGAAAUAGUAAUAAUGUUUAGUCAUUCUAUCACUUACUGCUCAUUAUUCCAUAACCCUGUAUAAAUAUAUUUUGUCAUCAAUUUGAACCCUUACAUGUCGUUUUCUGUAUGACAAGAAUAAAAACAUGCUGAAAUGAAUAAUAAAACUAUGCACACACUAAGGGGGAGCACACACUUAGGGGGAGGAAAACCUCCAUUUUGUGCAGAACUAAAAAGAAUAAAAGGACACUGUGCUGUUAACCAAGGAAUGUUUUUUCAUCAUAAAAAAGAGGGAGAUUGUUGGCUCCAUUAGUUUUUGACGAUAAUAACACAUUCUCAUUCAUUUGUGUCUAAUAUCUCCACUUGAGUGUACAAGACAAAUAUUGUAUGUAAAAAUUAAUAAAUCAUUCAAAUGCACAUGUCAAAGAGCAUAAGAAUAAGGAAGUCAAAAUUGAUCAACAAGAUAGAAGCCCCUUAGUCCAUUAAUGAAGAGUUAAUCAGCUAAAAUUCAAACUAGAAGUUGGUGGGCUGAAGAGUAUUGAGAGACAGAAAAGACUUAGUCGACCAAGGAGUGAGUUAGUCGACUAAGUGCACACUACUAGAAACUGGGAUCAGAAGACAGAGACGACUUAAUCGACUAAGAUAUCGAUUAGUUGACUAGGAGCAUUCUGCCAGAAAAUUUGAAUUGUGCACUAGAAGACAAAUUAACGGCUAUAACUGCAACAAAACUGUUUUCAACGAUCAGAAACUGUCUAACACAUUUCAAAGCUGAUUUUCCAAGUAUAAAAGAGGGUUCCAACGGCUAGAAAUGCAUUGAAGGCUUCCAAGAACACAAAGAGAGCUGACAAACCAGAAAACACUUAUAGCUCAUUUACUGCACUCAACUCCUAUCUUUGUAAUUGUGAUCUACACUUCAUUUGUACCACUUAGGUCAACCUUGUGAUCAUAGGUACACUCUUUUUACUUCUCUUCUUGUAUUCUUAGAGCGAGCGAGUCACUCUAAGGUAUUGAUUCAAGCUAGGAUUGCUUGAUUGGAUUUAGGUUCUAACUUAGCCUUGAAAAGUUAGGUGUUGGGUUUUAGUUGAUCCUGGUAAAAACUAUUGUGAAAGGUUUUGGCUAAGCCUGGCAAAAGCCAUUGUAAAGCUUAGUGAAAGCUUGUGAAUUUUACUGGUUCAUAGUGGAUUAGUUUGGAAAAUCCUUGGUUGGAUAAUUAAGGUAGUGGAUGUAGGUCUUGGAUCGAACCACUCUAAAUUCUUGCGCAUUCUCUACUCUGUUUUUAUUUUCAUUGGUUUUCAAAUUAGUUCCUUAUCUUGCCAAGAGCCAAAAAGCGCUAUUCACCCUCCCUCUAGCAUAUUUAAUUGGGACAAACAGAGAAAUGAUAGCUUAUCUUGAGAGUCUAGGAAUAAGAGGUAACCUUCAAUACCUUUAAAUCUUUGAAAUAUGCUAAUGUUUAUGAUGAGUGCUUUAUAGUAAAUAUAGUUGUGGGUGAAAAGCGGUUGCUCCAAUUAAAUGAGAUGGAUGAAAUACGGUGAAAUGCUUAUGUGAAUGUCAAAAUUUAUGAAGAAAAGAAAAAAUGAUGGCAUGACAAGAAGAUUGUUGAAUGACAUUUUGAGCUAGGUCAACAUGUGUUGUUGUUUAAUUCUUGUUUGAAACUGUUUCUAGGAAAAUUGAAAUCGCCGUGGUUAGGACCGUUUCUCAUUUCAAGAGUGUUGCCAUAUGGUGUCGUGGAACUAGUGGAUGACACAACAAAUAUAAAAUUUAAGGUGAACGGGUGUUGAUUUAAACACUAUUAAAGAGUGACAUGAUUGCCAACACUCUUCCAUUAGUCUUUUCGAACCCAGCUAAUGACCUUAAAGAAAGCGCUGCCUGGGAGGUAACCCAAGUUUUAUUUACUUAAAAAAAAUUUUGGUUGUUCAUUAAUUAUUUUUGUUAGUAAUUCAAUUUUAAUUUUUAUUUUCAUAUUACUAACUACUUAUUGUUAUUUUCUUUUUGCAAGUUAAUAAUACUAAUAAUAAUAGUUAUUUGAUUAUUCCAAAAAAAAGUUGUUAGUGUCGCGACGCUAGAACAUUCCUAGGGUUCCAUAAUGGAACCUAAGGUUGGGGUGUUGCGAUGCUACCCAAAAGGCGUUGUAAUGCCCCACAAUCAAAAUUAUAUAAGGCAUGGGCUAGUGGAGUGUCGUGGUGUUGGGCCCAUGGCUUUAUAUAAACCCCUUUCGCCCCCAUUUUACAACCCUAGGUAGAAAUUUUCAGUCUCUCUCUACCCCACUUGAGAAAUUUCACUCCUUUUUUACCUACCCACUACAAAAUCUCUUCCAAACACCAAUGAUUUUGCAUUAAACUUGGAUUUUAAAGGAUUUUUGAGCAUUUUUACUUUCUUUGAGGUAUUUGAGUGCAAAAAACUAUUAUAAGUGCUCUACUUUCUUAUUCUAAUUCUUUUUAUAGACAGCAUGGUGUUUUGAAGAUGGGUUUUGCAUAUGUUAGAUUUAAUAAUGUAGUAUAUGGAUUUCAUGAAUUUCUGAGUUUUGUGCUUAAAUUAUAAUUUUUGAAUAGUGGGUACCAUGAAUAACUCUUGUUUUUUGCACUUUGAAUUUGAAUUUGAUGAAAAGUAAGAUUAGUGUUAUUCAUAUUAUGAAGGGUUUAAAAUAGUUAGGAUAAAAUAUUUUGUCUAUGUUGAUCAAUUAUUUGUAAUGUAUACUAAUUAGUUGUGAUCAAAAGUGUGUUGUUGUAACGACCCCUCCUCAGUCGCUACUAACGUCCGAGACUUUCUAGAGAACCCGCCAAGUCCUGAACAAGCCUUGACAGAUAUCGAUUAUCAACUAUCACACAUUCAUUGGACAAUCUCGUAAUCAUCACAAUUUUAUUAAUAAUAAAUAUUCUAGAUAUAUUGUUUUCCAUCAUUACAUAAGUAUAUCUACGUUGUACCCAAGUAUUUGUUUCCAUAACUGAAUAUACUAUAAUUGACCCAACCUCUAACAGCGAAGCGACUUGGAUUAGGUUGCUAGGAGAUACCUUACCUACAUCGCUGGACCAUAAUGCCGAUGAAUAGCUCGCUAGCUAAUCACUAUUUGUAAAAGAGAAAUAAGGGGGUGUGUCUCACAGACUCAGUGAUUAUCGGCUCCUUGAGCAGAGGAUAGAUGGGAAACAAGCAAUAAGGUAAAGAUUUUUGAACAAUAAAAAUUACAAGAGUAGAUAAAAUUUUUUAAUUCAAACGAAGAUUUAUGCCUUAUAUAUAUAUAAGAAAAUAUCAAGAAUCUCUUAUAAGUCAUAAUCAAACAUAAUGUAUAUCAAGUCAAGUAAGUAAACUUUUGUGUAGCGAGAAAGUUAAUAACCAUUUUCAAACUGAAUCAGUAAAAUAUCAUUUUAAACUUCGUGCUCAUAAAAGAUCUCUGCAGUCGAAAUUAUCUCAUGUAAUACUCAAAUUAAAUCAAUAAAUUGGGCAAGCUCCCGCGAAACCAAAUAACAACCAAGUUUAUACACAAUUCACAAAUCGCCUCGCAUACGAGGGUAAAAUUCAUAUAACAAUAAAACUAGGGGGAGCUGUAAAAAAUCGUAUAAUUUCGUUUUCACCAAGCAAGAAAUAAGAGUCUAAAAACCCAAAGAGAUUUUUGUCUCAAGUAGGAAAUCAAAUAAAAUCCGUGGUCCCACUGCCACGUAAUAACUUCCGAGAGCCUCGCUCCACCGGAUCCCACAUGCCACGGCAGUCUCAACGAUGUUGGGCAACAUGGGAGAAUCAAGCGGUUGCAAUUACGUAAUCAUCUGACGGCCUAGCCACGCAUACAUAUAUCACAGGCCGUGGUCUCCACCACGCCUAAUCGCCCGUCGGAGACCCAAAGGUUCUCUAGUUAGAGCUCACUCGUGCACGAGGGUCACACUUAACCGAAGUGACAGCCGGCCUACUCUCAAAUCUCUCGGUUAAUAAAACCAUUUUAGAAAUCACUUUAUGUCUUUGACAUCUCGUUUCAAAAUUAUUUCCAAAGCAUUCAAUAUAGGGCAUGAUAAAAUCUAUCAUUUUCUCAAAAUAUAUUUAUGCAUGAAUAUCAAAACAAUAAUUCGCAUGGUGAAUUAGCAAUAUAACCAUGAAUGCACACUGCACAAAUAUAGGGCACAGAUUUUGAGGCAAAACAGUGUGAAGGGCUUGUUUCCCGAUUUUGAAAACACUUUACAUAUAUAUAUUAAAGACGAUUUCUAAAUAUAAUUUGCAACCACAAUUUCCUAAGAUUGUUACCAGCACAUGCUAUUCACAAUUUUCAUGUUUAAGAUAAAUCAUACGUAUAGGUAUAUAUUUAAUGAAAUUUUAAAAUUGGCACUCUUUACUCACCUCACAAUAGCGGGAUGUUACGUCGCUAUUAAUUCAAAGACGUAUCGAGUUACUUCUUUUUACCGAUCGUUAGUUAUUUCCUUCAGCCUUUCACCACAGUGCACCACCUAUUUAUUUCUCCUAAAUAUUGAAACCCACGUAAUUAAUAUAUCUAUAUAUCUUAUUUUAUUUUAACAUUAUUAUUAUAUAUUUUAUUAUUUUUUUACCUUUCUUUCCCGUUUAUUAUUAUUUUUUCUCUCUUCUGCUCGUUUUUCUCUUCCUUCCUUCUCCCUCCUUUCACUCACCAACCGGCUGCUCUUCCUUCCUCUUUCUCUCUCACCAUCGGUAGCACCCCAAAACUCAGCUUCCUCUCUUUCUUUCCUCAAAAUCCAGCAGCUAACUCAGCUUUCUUUUCCCUUUAAACUUUACAACAAAACUCUCCUAUUUUUACUCCUUUAAGUGGCAGCACACAACCUCUCUUUUCUAGCCCUAUCUUUCUCUCAAAAUCAGCUUCAGAACCUCUCCUACCUCCCUAAAAAAUCGACAGCACAAAGCUCCCUUUGUCCUUUACAAUCCGGUAGCACAAACCUUUGUUUAUUCUCUCACAAACCCUACGACACUAGCCCUUGUUUUCUCCCUCAAGCAUUAGCUGCACCAUUCCUUUAUUUUUCCCUCACCAGUCUGUAGUAUCAGCUCUUUUUUUCUCCCUCAAAAUGACUUCUUUCUUUCUUUUUUCUUUUAUUCUCUUGGCUAGCUUAACUUUUCUUUUGAUUUCUUUCUUAUCUUUUCUAUCUUUCAUCUUUCAUUCAUUUCUUUUCUUUUUAUAUGGCCUUUCAUCUCAAUGGCCGGCCCCCCUUUACUUUCACACAUGAUUUAAAAAUAAUAAUUCUAAUAGCUUUGACUCUCUCUUUUGUCUCCAUGACCGGUUGGUAAUAAAAGAAAUUGAUAAAAUUUUGUUUGAUGUGGUUUGCAGUUAGGGCCGAUAAUGACAAGCUUGCUUGUAAAUUCUCCUUUUUUUUUUAUUCUUUUACAUGUGACAGCCCAUACCAUCAUUUUUUCUUCUUUUAUUGUUUUCCUUGAUCGGCCAUGUGGUUAGAAUGCAAGUCAACAAUUGCUUGGAACCUUUAAAGCCACUUUACUUGACUUUUCCUCCCCAUUUCACUAUUGUCUCAUCUUUUCUCCUCAUUUUCUUUGUACAUAAGCCUUACAUUUCCAGCAAAUCUUACAUGGAUGGCCGGCCAUGAGGAACAAAAAGAAGAGUCAAAGCUUCCUUUGAAAGCUUUGACCAAGCUUUGUAACACAAUUACUAUUUUACCUUUCAAGGUUCUCAUCCUUUUAAUUAAGUCCUCCGAAAAUCUUUAAAUCUCCAAUUUCCUUCUAUUAUCUUCUUUUACAUAUGUACAAAUGAAAUAUAAAGUUUGUACCUCAACGCGGUGUUCUUAUAAUAUUUGAAAUAUUAUUUACCCCGCGCUAUCUUUAUUUAAUAAAGACACGUGGGCCCCUUUAAUGUCAUUUUUCUCUGAAAUUUCCUCAUUCUUCCUCUCCCCCACUUAGAUUGACCAUAUACUCCUUCUUCACGAAAAAAUUUUGACACUGAAUAAAAUAAUAAUAUUUUAAUAUUAUUUUAUUAAUAAAAAAUUAUUUUAUUCCAAAAAUUUCCUCUUGUCUCCUUGGUAUCCAAAAUACCUUAUUAUGCCUUAAUUGGCAUCUGAUAAGCUUUAUUUGUCACCACAUCAAAGUACGGAGUAUUAUAGUCUCCCCUACUUAAAUAGAAUUUGUCCUCGAAUUCACGUCGGUGUCGAGUUAUCAAUCUCACUCUAUGAUCUUAUCCCUUUUUCCCCUUUUAUGGGGACAUUCGAUUUGUUUACCUUGUUCACCCCCAAUUCAAUUUGAAUACCUUAUUUAUGUCAAUAUUAUCCUUUAGAACCAGAUCAACAGUACCCUUCAUAAUCAUGAUCUCUUAUAUUGAGACUCCAAACAUGCCUCUAUCACUAUCAUUAAAUUUGAACCAUAACUCUAUCUCAAUCAUACCGAUUUCGAUCACAUAUUAUACUUACUUAUGUAUACCUAAUCAGCAUCGUAUUAUUUCACUCCUUGCCAAACUUUUCGACAUUGAUUCAUUCAUCUUAUUCCCAUACACUAUUAUGUAACCUGCAGCAUUAUUAACAUGCCAUAUUGAUUUCUAUACAUAGUCUCAACGUCGAAAAAGGUUAAUGCCUCUAAUUAUUCCCACAUACUUCAGGUUUAUCUUGCAUUUACGCCACAUACUUCAAUUAUUCCCACGUAAUGGAUUACAUUUCUUUAAUCACAUUCUUUGAUUAUCUUUUCUAAAAUUUCUUAUAUCAUCAUAGUUCAACUUUUAUUGGGACUUCUUGCUGUUGUACUAUUUAUACAACUCAUCAAUACAUGAAGUUCAAAUCUCUAAUUACUAAGAACAGUUCUUCACCUCAGUUAGUCAAGUUAUCAAUAUCACAUAUACAUGUGUACAUGCAUUUUCCAAAUGUCAGCAUUCCUCGUUACGCAUAGGGAUCCAUCUGUUCACGUGCCUUAGACUACAUUUCCCUUUAUUCAUCCGCAUCCCUAUCCAAGAUUCAAUAUAAUAAUCCUCAUAAUGCAUGUCAACAUUCUUGUUAUGCCUACGCAUAACUUCAUAUUGUUUAUUCAUUUCCAAUUAUAUGCUUGAGUUUCAUCAUACUAUAUUCUUACAUCACAAUGUCAUUAAUCACAACUCACUUACUAAAUGUCACUCGCAUUGAAUUGCAAUAUGAUAUUCGCAUAUACUUUGUAAUCUCAUUGAUCUUUCAAAGGUUUAUCUUUAUUGGAUCAUUGCAUCUUAUGCAAUACCACAAUCUUUAAAAGUCAUCCUUAUUUCUUAAUUAUUCCUCAUACCUCUAACACAUAUAUAUGUAUAUAUAUAUAUCCUUGUUGCAUUUCGACUAUAAUGAGUCACUUAAAACUUAUACUGAUUCGAAUCGUGCAUGCCUCAAGUAUUUCCAAAUUCCAAUUCCCAUACUACAUUAAAAAGUUUUCAUUAUCGGGCUUCAUUAUCUAGAUUAUCUUCAACAAUCCUUUGUUAUAUUCUUCCAUACUAACGUGACAUUAUUCUCCUUAGACCAAUUUGCAAUUUGUACUUGAAACUGCAAGACUUAAAACAAGGUCCUUUUCAAGUACUUUUCAAUGUCAAUACGAAUAUCACCUUCAGCUUAUGGCUUCCUUUUUAUAACCACAUAACUUCAUGCUUACUUUCACAAGAUCCACAGUAGAACUCCUCUUAAGUAUCUCUUUACGGAUACCUAUCUUAAACUUAUGUCUCACUGCAUGUGAUCAUUUAACCCAUGACUUAGCCGUUAGGUUCCUUGGCAAAUUUCAAAAAUCCCUUACUUUAUACUUGCCAUGUAUGAUUGGUAAUUCCUUUUCGAAGAUAUUUGUGCAUUGCUGAAACACUUAGCCCCUUAUUUACUCUUUAACGUCCCAAGCAUAUCGAUCUAUAGACAUGCACCUAUUCUUAGGAUAUAUAAAUACAUACUCAUCCAUUCAAUUCCCAAUUUGUCAUUCUUCUCUUUACUUAUCAUACGUAUUAAGCCAAGUUAAUACUUUCAACUCAUGUCAUCUUUUGACUUUUAUCAUCAUUCAUGAAAUCCCACCUUAAGGUACCUUUUUCAUAUGGUGUAAUGAAUUCACAAUACAUAUAUCACCACACACAUAAUUACUCACUAUUUACGACAUUCCACAAAUUUGUUGUUAUCCAUAACUAACUAUCUUUCUUGUCUUGUACUCCAAUACUUUAUUAACUUUCGGUAUAAAUGACCACGAAAAUAGUUCACCUUCCUCCUCACUUUAUUCUCACAAUCCUCAUUAAAUCAAAAAUUUCAUAUUUCCCUAAACUCCAUAAUUUAACUCCAUUGGGCUAUAUUUGUGCCCAAUUAUUAACUCAUAGUGUCAUGGCAUCACUUGGUAAUCCCCUUCAUGCUUAAAUUACAAUCAUCAACUUAUAACUAUAAACCGUAAUGGUUCAAAUUAAACCUUUGAAUCUCGCAAUCACUUGAUUAAAAUCCAAACCAACUCCAUCUAAGUUACUAUACACAUAUUCAAUACCUAUCCGCAUAUAAAAUAUUUCGAAAGUUCAACACCAUUCAUAUAUAGGCAGGGCAAACUUAAUUAACACAAGUUCAACACCAUUCAUAUAUGGGCAGGGCAAACUUAAUUAACACAAUACACUUACCUCCGUGCGCGAGUACCAGUUUACACCUCCCUUAAUAUUUAGAUUUAUAAACCUCAAGUGAAUCUCAAUGAUCAUUAUUCGUCCAGUCAAAGUAUACCCCUUAUUAGUAUUAUCAUACGUGCCCCUUUAUAUUAACCUCGAAUACCAUCCACAGUCAUCUAAUUUUCUUCCCAUUGUCAAUCUUGGGCUCAACUUAUAACUUCACCAAAUGACUACAUUAUUUCGAACCUAUCAAUUUAGCUCCACUUUCCUCCAUUCUUAAUCGGAGGGAUGCGUCAUUACAUUAAUCUUUCAUUAGGAGCAUUUUGCUUUAAGAUCUUUCCAAUAAUGGCUCGUGUCUCAGGUGGCAUCUCAAACUCGGGCAACGGUACCACUUAUGCCCUUUAUAUGACGAUAACAAAAUGGUAGGUUACUAAGAAUAAGAGUUUAUAUAGCGUCCUAUCUAUGACUUGUGCUACAGUCAUAAACCAUAAACAAGACUCUACAUUAACUCCGACAACUCCGCUGACUGACACAAGAAUCCCUAGGACUCAACUAAACCUAGGGCUCUGAUACAAACUUUGUAACGACCCUUCUUCGGCCGCUACCAGCGUCCGAGACUUUCGAGAGAACCCGCCAAGUCCCGAAUAAGCCUUCACAGAUAUCAAUUAUCAACUAUCACACAUUCAUUGGACAAUCUCGUAAUCAUCACAAUUUUAUUAAUAAUAAAUAUUCUCGAUACAUUGUAUUCCAUCAUCACAUAAGUAUGUCUACGUUGUACCAAAGUGUUUGCUUCCAUAACUGAAUAUACUAUAAUUAACCCGACCUCUAACAGCGGAGCGACUUGGAAUAGGUUGCUAAGAGAUGCCUUACCUACAUCACGAUGGACCAUAAUGCCGAUGAAUAGCUCUCUAGUUGAUCACUAUCUGUAAAAGAGAAAUAAGAGGGUGAGUUUCACAAACUCAGUGAUCAUCGGCUCUGUGACCAGAGGAUAGAUGGGAAACAAGCAAUAAGAAAGAUUUUGAAUAAUAAAGUUGUAAGAGUAGAUAAAAAUAUUUAAUUCAAACGGAGAUUUAUGCCUUAUAUAUAUAUAAGAAAAUAUCAAGAAUCUCUUGUAAGUCAUAAUCAAACAUAAUGUAUAUCAAGUCAAGUAAGUAAAAUUUUGUGCAACAAGAAGGUUAAUAACCAUUUUCAAACUAAAUCAGUAAAAUAUCAUUUUAAACCUCGUGUUCAUAAAAGAUCUCUGCAGUCGAAAUUAUCUCAUGUAAUACUCAAAUUAAAUCAAUAAAGUUGGGCAAGCUCCCGAGAAACCAAAUAAUAACCAGGUUUAUACACAAUUCGCAAAUCGCCUCGCAUACGAGGGUAAAAUUCAUAUAACAGUAAAACCAGGGGGAGCUGCAGAAAAUCGUAUAAUUUUGUUUUCACCAUGCAAGAAAUAAGAGUCUGAAAACCCAAAGAGAUUUUUUUCUUGAGUAGAAAAUAAAAUAAAAUCCGUGGUCCCACUACCAUGUAAUAACCUCCGGGAGCCUCGCUCCACCGAAUCCCACAUGCCAUGGCAGUCUCAACGAUGUUGGCCGACAUCAGAGAAUCAAGCAGUCACGACCGCAUAAUCAUCUAGUGGCCUAGCCAAGCAUACAUAUAUCACAGGCCGUGGUCCCCACCAUGCCUAACCGCCCGUCGACGACCCAAAGGUUCUCUAGCUAAAGCUCACUCGUGCACGAGGGUCACACUUAACCGAAGUGACAACCAGCCUACUCUCGAAUCUCUCGAUUUAUAAAACCAUUUUAGAAAUCACUUUAUGUCCUUGACAUCUCGUUUCAAAAUUAUUUCCAAAGCAUUCAAUAUAGGGUAUGAUAAAAUCUAUCAUUUUCUCAAAAUAUAUUUAUGCAUGAAUAUCAAAACAAUAAUUCACAUGGUGAAUAAGCAAUAUAACCAUGAAUGCACACUGCACAAAUAUAAGGCACAAAUUUUGAGGCAAAACAGUGUGAAGGGCUUGUUUCCCGAUUUUCAAAACACUUUACAUAUAAUUUAUACAUAUAUAUAUUUGAGAUGAUUUCUAAACAUAAUUUGCAACCACAAUUUCCUAAGAUUGUUACCAGCACAUGCUAUUCACAAUUUUCACAUUUAAAAUAAAUCAUACGUAUAGGUAUAUAUUUACAAAUAUUUUAAAAUUGGCACUCCCUACUCACCUCACAAUAGCGGGAUGUUACAUUGCAAUUAAUUCAAAGACAUAUCAAGCUACUUCUUCUUACCGAUCGUUCGUUAUUUCCUUCAGCCUUUCACCAUAGUGCGCCAUCUAUUUAUUUCUCCUAAAUAUUGAAACCCACGUAAUUAAUAUAUCUAUAUAUCUUAUUUUAUUUUAACAUUAUUAUUAUAUAUUUUAUUAUUUUCUUACCUUUCUUUCCCGUUUAUUAUUUUUUUUCUCUCUUCUGCUCAUUUUUCUCUUCCUUUCUGCUACCUCCUUUCACUCACCAACCGGCUGCUCUUCCUUCCUCUUUCUCUUUCACUGUCUGUAGCACCCCAAAACUCAGCUUCCUCUUUUUUCUUUCCUCAAAAUCCAGUAGCAAACUCAGCUUUCUUUACCUUUUAAAAUUUAAAGCAAAGCUCUCCUCUUUUUACUCCUUUAAGUGGCAAUACACAACCUCUCUUUUCCAGCCCUAUCUUUCUCUCAAAAUCAGCUUCAUAACCUCUCCUACCUCCCUCAAAAAUCGACAGCACAAAGCUCCCUUUGUCCUUUACAAUCCGGUAGCACAAACCUUUGUUUAUUCUCUCACAAACCCAACAACACUAGCCCUUGUUUUCUCCCUCAAGCAUUGGCUGCACCCUUUAUUUUUCACUCACCAGCCGACGAUACCAGCUCUUUCUUUCUCCGUCAAAAUGACUUCUUUCUUUCCUUUUGCUUUUAUUCUCUUGGCCGACUUAGCUUUUCUUUUCAUUUCUUUCUUAUCUUUUUUAUCUUUCAUCUUUCAUUCAUUUCUUUUCUUUUAUAUAGCCUUUCAUCUCAAUGGCUUGCCCCCCCUUACUUUCACACAUAAUUUAAAAAUAAUAAUACUAACAACUUUAACUCUCUCUUUUGUCUCCAUGACCGGUUGGUAACAAAAGAGAUUGAUAAAAUUUUGUUUGAUGUAGUUUGCAAGUGGGGCCGACAAUGACAAUCUUGUUUGUCAAUUCUCUUUCUUUUUUUUUAUUCUUUUACAUGUGACCGCCCAUACCAUCAUUCCUUCUUCUUUUAUUGUCUUCCUUGACCAGCCAUGUGGUUAGAAUGCGAGUCAACAAUUGCUUGGAACCUUUAAAGCCACUUUACUUGACUUUUCCUUCCCAUUUCACUAUUGUCUCAUCUUUUCUCCUCAUUUUCUUUGUCUUUUCCUUUCUUUGUACAUAAGUCUUACAUUUCUAGCAAAUCUUACAUGGAUGGCCGGCCAUGAGGAAUAAAAAGAAGAGUCAAAGCUUCCUUUGAAAGCUUUGACCAAGCUUUGUAAGAAAAUUACUAUUUUACCCUUCAAGGUUUUCAUCCUUUUAAUUAAGUCCUCCAAAAAUCUUUAAAUCUCCAAUUUCCUUCUAUUAUCUUCUUUUACAUACGUACAAAUGAAAUAUAAAGUUUGUACCCCAACGCGGUGUUCCCAUAAUAUUUAAAAUAUUAUUUACCCCGCGCUAUCUUUAUUUAAUAAAGAUACGUGGGCCCCAUUAACGUCAGUUUUCUCCAAAAUUUCCUCGUUCUUCCUCUCUCCCACUUAGAUUGAGCAUAUAUGCCUUCUUCAUGAAAAAAUUUUGACACUGAAUAAAAUAAUAAUAUUUUAAUUUUAUUUUAUUAAAAAAAUAUUAUUUUAUUCCAAAAAUUUCCUCUUAUCUCCUUGGUACCCAAAAUACCUUAUUAUGCCUUAAUUGGCAUCUGAUAAGCUUUAUUUGUCACCACAUCAAAGUACGGAGUAUUACAGUUGCUUAUUGCUUGGGUAUUCAGAUAAUCAUCAUUGCACCAAAAGAAAAAGACACGUGCAAGUGGAAGCGGGAAUAGCUUUCGUAGAAGUAAAUUUAUUUCAGCCGAAAUUGAGAAGUGCUGCACCUAGUCCCUAUUGCACAAAGUUCCAAUUCUAGAACGUGGCAUUGAUGUCUAGAGAGCACUUCAUCUUAACAUCUACAAUAUUAUCGACUUGACAGUUGGAGAAAUUUUACGCCCAGCCAGAGGCUGUAGUAAUGCCUAUGGUUAGGGAAUUCUAUGCCAAUGUUGUUGAACAUGAAGAUGGGUGAGCCUUCAUUCAAGGAUGUCAAGUACCUUUUGAUGCUCACACUAUUAAUCAGUUUUACAAUACACCUGACAUUGGGAACGAUAAGCACGACCAAUUUGUGAAUGAUGUUAAUUUGGAUGAGGUUCUAGGGUUUAUAAGCAUUUUAGGUAUUGAAUGGAAAGUGCACAAUGGUGUUCCAAUUUCAUUUAAAGAUAAUGCCACGGAUAGCUACUACAAGGUGUGGUAUCAUUUCUUAGCUACGAAUAUGGUUCUUGUAAAACACCUGAGUGAUGUGACCAAGGAUUGAGCAAUCCUCUUGUACGUAAUUGUCACUGAAAAAUCUAUUAACAUUGGGCAAUUAAUCUUCAACAACAUUAUCAUGUCAGCUUAGUCACCAUGUGACGGAAUGUGGUAUCUAUCUUUAAUCACUGCUUUGUCUAUCAAGUCAAAAUUUUUUGGUUAGAGAAUGAAGAGUUGUUGCAUCCAGAGAUUCCAUUAGAUGGUGGGAUCAUUAAUAGAAUCUACAUGUGGGAGCAAACCACCAUUGGUGGAAGUUCAACUACGACACCUCAACCACCGCGACAUUCUCAAAAUCUCUCCAUGCCUUAACGAAUGGAACAACUUGAGCAUUGUUUUGACCAUCAGAAAGAGUUUUUCAAAGCCAUUGAUGAGAUGAUGAAGGCAUAUGUCGAGCAUGUUAGCAUGGACAUGACUACCUUCCCUACACUGCUUGUUGAUCCCACCUAGGAUAAGGAUGACAAUACUACUAUGAAGGAGGAUGACGAUUAACUUUGUUUGCAAGUUUAAGGAAGUAUUUUCUUUCUUUACUUUUAGGAACAUUGAGGAUAAUGUUCACUUUACGUUUGAGGAGAAUUUUUAUGUUUUCUUUUAUUUAUUGUAUGUUUGUUUAAACUAGUUCAUGUGCAUGAUGUUAGUUGGAACUUGUUGAAAUAUCAAGCUAGAGUUGUACACCAAUUGCAAUUGAUUUAUCUAUCCAAUGAUGAAAAGUUGUUGGUCCCAAGUAGAUGUGUUAGAGGAGGGUGAAUAGCAUAAUUUGGCUCUUAACAAGAUGAGGAACUAAUUUGAAAAGUAAUGAAAAUAAAAACAUAGUAGACAAUGCGCAUGAAUUUAGAGGGGUUUGAUCCAAGACCUACAUCCACUACCUUGAUUAUCCAACCAAGGAUUUUCCAAACUAAUCCAUUAUGAAGCAAUGAAAUUCACAAGCUUUCACCAAGCUUUACAAUGGCUUUUACCAGGCUUAGCCAAAACCUUUCACAAUGGUUUUUACUGAGAUCAACCAACACCCAAAGUGGUUUUUCAAAGGCUCAACCACAACCUUUCACAAUGGGUUUUCAUGGGCUCAACCAAAACCCAAAGUGGUUUUUCAAAGGCUCAACCACAACCUACAACAAUGGUUUUUCACGAGAUCAAUCAAAACCCGACAACUAACUUUUCAAGGCUAAGUUAGAACCUAUACACUCAAUCAAGCAAUCCAAGCUUGAAUAAAUCCCUUAGAGUGACUCCCUCACUCAAAGAAUAGAAAGAGAGAAGUAAUGAGAGUGUACCUAUGAUCACACGGUUGAUCUAAGUGGUACAAGUGAAGUGCAUAUCACAAUUACAAGGAUGAGAGUUGAGUGCAAUAAAUGAGCAAUGACUAUUUGUAGGUUUUUCAGCUCUUUUUGUGUUCUUGGAAGCCUUCAUUCCAUUUCUAGCCAUUGGAACCCUCUUUUAUACUUGAAAAACCAGCUCUGAUGUGAGUUAGAUAGUUCAGUUUUUGACCGUUGGGAACAGUUUGGUAGCAAUUUUGGCCGUUAAUCUGUCUUCUAGUGCACAAUUCAAAAUUUUUGGCAGAAUGUUCUUAGUCAACUAACCGAUAUCUUAGUCGACUAAGUCGUCUCUGUCUUCUCAUCCUAGUUUCUAGCAGUUCUAGCAGUGUGCACAGAGUCGGCUAACUUAUUCCUUGGUCAACUAAGUUGGUUUUGUUUCUCAAUACUCUUCAACCCACCAACUUUUGAUUUAAAUCUUAGCUGACUAACUCUUCAUUAAUAGACUAAGGGGCUUCUGUCUUGUUGAUCAAUUGUGACUUCCUUAUUUCUAUGCUCUUUGAUAUGUGCAUUUGAAUGAUUGAUUAAAUAUUUGCAUUCAAUUUUUGUCCUACACACUCAAUUACAAAUAUUAAACACAAAUGAAUGGGAAUGUUUUAUUAUCAUCAAAAACUAAUGGGGCCAACAAUCUCCCUCUUUUUGAUGAUGAAAAAAAUUUCUUGAUUAACAGCAUAGUAUCCUUUUAUUCUUUUUUAGUUUUGCACAAAGAUGAGGAUUUCUCCCUGUAUGUGUAUGCUCCCCCUUAGUUUGUGCAUAUUUUGCUUAUUCAUUUUAGCAAAUUUUAUUCAUAUAGAAAAUGACAUUAUACAUUUAGAGUAUAUAUAUGCAAAAAUAAAAAGUGAUUUACAGCAGGUGAAUGUUGAUAGAUCAUCAAAAUUUUAGUAAUGUCUGUCAACAAUUUAUUGUUAUCAAAUUUUGUCUAUGCCAUACAUCAUUCAACAAAUAUACUAUACUUAGCAUCCAAAUUUAUUCACAAACACAAUCCAUUUACAAUCAAACCAAAAUAAAUAAACAAUGUCUCAAUAGACUUUCAACAUUGGUUAUCAGCAACAGAACAAAAUAAAUAAAUAGUGUCUUAGCACAAUGAUCAGUAUCCAAUUUUUAACAAACUACCAUGGAUCAUCUACCAUAGAUAACCUGAUCAGAUUCAUCAUCCUAAAUUUCACCUAGAUUUCUGGUUCCUUUACCCUAACAUUUUUUUUUAAUUUUCCCUUUCCCCUUAACUUUUCCACUUCUCCCCCUUUUUGUCAUCAUCAAAAUUUAGGGAUGCCUAAUCAUCUUCUGAAGAGAGGGAAAGGAUUCAUCAUCAAUGUAGUAUUGAACAUUUAGGGGUUGAGGAGAAGACUCUGGUUGAGGAGAAGGUUGGGGUGGUGAUUUUUGAGGAGAGGGUUCAAGUGAGGACUUGUCAGAGACUUCUAGAGGUUCUUGACGAGAAGAGAUGGUUACUGGUCUGGCCUUUUCAACAAUCCUAGAGGAUUUUCUUCAUUUGAGGAACUUAGUUUUGGUUGCCAUUCUCUUGAUCCCUUUACCAGGUGGUUUUAGCUUAGUUUGUGGAGCUGCAGUAGCUUUUUUCUUUCCUUUACCUGAUUUUUCUUUUAUUGUGUGUGCUGGUUCAGUAGACACUGACUUCUUAGCUUGUGCUUUGGCUGCUUCCUUUUUUGUCUGCUCUUCCUUAACCAUCUGGUGGAAGACAUCCAUAAUGGAUACCUCUUCUGAAUUUUGAGGGGAGGGCUACUGUUUCUAAGGUUCUGAAAGAACAUUCUCAUCUAGUGAACUAAGCACUUCUGUUCUUUGUUCUGAGGUUCAGGUGAAGGGAUUUUUUCUGGUUGAUCAUUCCUUGGUUGAGAGUCCUCAGUUUCAAGGACAGGACUUGCAGUCUUGGAAACAGAACCUUCAACCUAAAGAAUAGGGCUUGUAGCAUGAAAAGUAGACCCUUCUGCCUAGAAAGCUGAACCCUCGGCACCUUGUUCUCCUGAUGCAAUGCUUGGGGUUGCAGAGGUAUUUGUAGCAGCAGGUUCAGUUGGCAUUUUUCCUUUUCCUUUCAUUUUGCUUUCCAUUUCUAUUAACCUUUCUUCAAUUUUCUAAAUUCUUGCCCCUUGGUUUGUGAGCUUUCCAUCAAUUCUCAUAAGUAGGUUGAAGAUCACUUCAUUUGAGAAUUGAGAUGGUGUUGCCUCUGGUUGAGCAGGUAAAGAGGACUCUUUUCUUGGACCAGCCUUGGGGGUUUUAACGAAUCUUUCUCCAUCAAGUUUGAACCCCAUUUUAAGCAAGCUUCCAAGGUAAAUGGCUUGAUCUCUACUUUUUACCUUGUUUUCCUCAUACCUUGAGCUCUAAAUCCCUUUCUUUUGCACCAAAGAUGUGAUGAUAUUUCCAUAAGGCAAAUUUAUUUUCUCUAGUCUACAUACUCCUUUCAUUCUCUCAAUCAUAAAUCUGCCUAAGUUAAGUGAAACACCAUUAAAUGCAUGUUCCAUCAGCCAUAGAUCUUGUAGGCUAAUAUAGAUAAAACUUCCCCCUCUUCCAUGAACAUUGGCAGCAAUGAAAUAAUGCAAUAUUCUAAUUUGUGGACUAGUGAUCAAACCAACAUUACUCUUAGAAGAAUAUUUCUCUUUCUUUCCUGUAAUCACUUCCCAUUGGGAUGAGGGAUCAUAGUUUUCUGGAAAUUCAAACUCAACCUCUUCACAUUCAAUUUUACGCAAACUACCCAAAUUAGUAGAAGUCAUAGUAAAUUCUUUCCCAUUUAAAAAUACAUUCAGGCCAUCCUCAAAAUAAUCAUUUGGUUCCUCCAGUUCAUCCUUGUCAACAACAAUACUCUGUUGGUCCCAAAUAAAUGUGCUAGAGGAAGGGUGAAUAAAACUUUUUGGCUCUUUAAAAAAUUGACCUUUAAUUGGAAAUAAAUGCAUAAUAAAAGAAAGAACUUAAAGAUAUAUAAAAACUGAAAACAGAACAGACAAACACACGGAUAUUUAUAGUGGUUUGGUCCAAGACCUACAUCCACUACCUUGAUUGUUCAACCAAGGAUUUUCCAAACAAUCCACUAAGAACCGGUGAAAUUCACAAGCUUUCACCAAGCUUUACAAUGGCUUUUACCAAGCUCAGCCAAACCUUUCACAAUAGUUUUUCUCAGGCUCAACUAUAACCCGAUACCUAACUUUUAAAGGCUAACUUAGCACCUUUAUCAAAACAAGCAAUCUUAGCUUGAUUGAACCCCUUAGAGUGACCCUUUCACUCUAAGAACAUAAAGAGUAAUGAAAUAAAAGUGUACCUAUGAUCACAAAGUUGAUCUAAGUGGUACAAGUUGAAGUACAAAACACAACUACAAAGAUGGGCGUUAAGUGCAAUAAAGUGUAGAGAGAUUUUUGCUUGUUUUUUGAGCUUUUUUUGCUUGGAAGCCUUGACUUCUAAAUUCUAGUCGUUAGAACCAUCUUUUAUACUUUAACAAACAACUCUGAUAGCAGUUUGAUAGUUUUCUAGCCAUUGGAAAUAGUUGAGAGUUGGUUCUAGCAGAGUUUAAACUUGCAGGUAGAAUUCUCUUAGUCGACUAACCGAUAUCUUAGUCGAAUAAGUCGUCUCUGUCUUCUGUUUCCAAUUUCUAGCAGUUUUGGCAAUGUGCACUUAAGUCGACUAACUCAUUCCUUGGUCAACUAAGUUGGUUCUGUUUCUCAAUACUCUUCAGCCCACCAACUUUUGAUUUAAAUCUUAGCUGACUAACUCUUCAUUAAUCGACUAAGGGGCUUCAGUCAUGUUGACCAAUUAUGACUUCCUUAUUCCUAUGCUCUUUGAUAUGUGCAUUUGAAUAAUUGAUUACAUAUUUGCAUAUAAUUUUUGUCCUCACACUCAAGUAGAGAUGUUAGACACAAAUGAAUGGGAAUAUUUUAUUAUCAUCAAAAGCUAAUGAAGCCAACAUACUCGAAUAAAAUUCUUUAACUAAACUACUACUGUAUGAUCGGUUUCUAAAUGUACUAAACUCCUUAAGUUUUAACUCCUCAAAUAAUCAGAUAAGCUUGUUUGAAUUUCUGGAAUUGCAUUAAAACUGUCCCAAUCGAUGUAUUUUCCAUAAGUGAUAGGUGCAUUCUCUAUUUUUCUAAAUCUCUCUUCAUGUACCUUAUUUAUGAAUUUAGAAGAUGAGGUAGUACCUUUCUUGAGCGAUUUGCCCUUAUCUUUCUUCUUUUCAGAUUUGUGGCUCUUUUGUUUCUAUGAUUUUCCAUAUUUUUCACUCACAGAUGCCAACACAAUCUUUUUCUUUUUCUUCUGUAUUUCUACUUGCAUGUUUUCUUCCAAUGGCCGUUUGCCUUUCUUCUUCUCUAGAAGUUCUUGGGACUGUACUGAUUUUGCCAUUUGGUUUGGAAGAUUUUCAACGUAAGGUUUCGAAUGGUUGAGAGGUGAGGGUUUCAGUUUCAGCUGUCGAUUUUAGCAGAGAGAAAAUGUAGAGAAAAUAGGUUGAUAGUAGUUUAAUUAGUUAAAAAAAAACUGUUUGACUUCCCUUCUUUAAGGAUAAUUGGUAACUCCCCCUUCAAAAUUCAAAAAUUGCCUCAUAAUUUUUAUUUUUGGUUUGGGCAGUUUUCUCCUCUGUUUUAUUUCCCGAUAAACAUUUUCUUUUCAUUAUUUUAUUCCUCCUACCUUUAACUUAACUGAGUCUUGUUAUUUAAUGAGACAGAAUGCUCUUAGUUGACUAAGACCUCUCUUAGUCGACUAAUGCCUACUGUCUUUUGUGAAAAUUUCAGAAUUUUUCUUUAAAUCUCUAGCAAACUAACCAUCCCUAAAUUUCUCCUAAUCUCACAAAAUCUUUUCUCAUUCAGGGGUUUUGUGAAUAUAUCAGCUAGUUGAUGUAGAGUGUUGACAAAUUCAAUUUUAAUGUUACUUUUCAUUACAUGAUCUCUAACAAAGUGGUGCCUAAUUUCAAUGUGUUUAGUCCUUGAGUGCUGCACAGGAUUCUUUGAUUGUACUUGUUUUGUCACAAUAUAUUGGUAUGUUAUUCAUUGGCAUUCCAUAGUCUUUUAGUUGUUGUUUAAUCCAUAAGAUUUGAGCACAACAGUUGCUUGGAGAUACAUAUUCUGCUUCUGCUGUAAACAAAGCAACUGAAUUUUGCUUUUUGCUAGAACAUGACACAAGCAUACUACCUAUAAACUGGUAGGUUCCACUAGUAAUCUUUCUAUCUGUUUUGCUCCUAGCAAAAUCAACAUCAGAAUAUCCAACUAAGCUAAAAGAUGAUUCUCUAAAGUACCAUAUGCCUAAAGUUUGUGUAUCUAUGAGGUAUCUAAAAAUUCUUUUAAUAGCAGUUAGGUGAGAUUCCUUAGGAUUUGAUUGAAAACGAGCAAAUAAACAUACGCUGAAUUGAGUGUCAGGCUUGCUAGUUGUUAAAUAGCGUACUAAUCCGAUCAUACCUUUAUAGAGCUUUUGAUCAACAUCAUUUCCUUUUUCAUCUAAAUCUAGUUUGGUGGAUGGACUCAUUGGUGUAUAAAUUGAUUUCAACUUUAGCAUAUCAAACUUUUUGAGCAUGUCUUGAGUGUAUCUUUCUCAUUUGAUGAAGAUUCCUUUUUCACUUUGUUUAAUUUGAAGUCUAAGAAAGUACUUCAACUCACCCAUCAUGCUUAUCUCAAAUUCACCCUGCAUUUCUUUAGCAAAGUUCUUGCAUACAGCCUCAUUAGUUGCACUAAAUACAAUGUCAUCCACAUAGAUUUGAACUAUAAUUAAAUCCUUUAAGUAUCUUUUAAUAAACAAUGUAGUAUCAAUGCUACCUCUAACAUAUCCUUUUUCAACCAGAAAUUUUGAAAGCCUCUCAUACCAAGCUCUAGGAGCUUGUUUCAAUCUAUACAAGGCUUUAUGAAGUUUGAAAACAUGAUCUGGUUUUUCAAAGUCUUUAAAUCCUGGUGGUUGUUCAACAUACACUUCCUCUUGAAUGAAUCCAUUUAAAAAUGCACUUUUUACAUCCAUUUGGUAUAAUUUAAAAUUCAUAAAGCAUGCAAAAGCAAGCAACAACCUUAUGGCUUCAAUCCUAGCAACUGGUGCAAAGGUUUCAUCAUAGUCAAUUCCUUCCUCUUGGUUGUAUCCUUGGGCUACUAACCUAGCUUUAUUUCUAACUACAUUUCCUUGCUCAUCUACCUUAUUUCUAAACACCCAUUUUGUUCCAACAAUCGGGUGGUUUAAAGGCCUAGAGACUAAUGACCACACAUGGUUUCUUUUGAAUUGAUCAAGUUCCUCUUGCAUGGCCAAUAUCCAGCUUUCCUCUUUUUCUGCUUCCUCAAAUGUCUUAGGCUCAAUUUGAGAUAUGAACGCUAAAAACUCACAAGUCUUUCUUGUUGCUCUCCUAGUCAUAACUUUUUGAGAAAUGUCACCUAUGAUUUGUUCUUGUGGAUAGUCUUUUGCAUAUCUCCAACUCCUUGGAAGAUUAUUAUACUGAAUUUCUAUUCUUUGCAAAUUUUCUAAAUGUGGAGUUUCAUUUUCUCUUCUAGGUGAGCUUUCUUCAUUAUUCUUAUUGUUCUCUAAGCUCAUUUCUUCCAUUUGCUUUUCUAAGAUCUCUACAUCAUCAUCAUCAGCAUGAAUUUCCUUUUGUAAGGCAUUGGACUCAUCAAAAACUAUAUGGAUUGAUUCUUCAACAGUUAAAGUUCUUUUAUUGAAAACUCUAUAAGCUUUUGAGUUUAAUGCAUAUCCUAAAAAUAUUGCUUCAUCACUCUUUGCAUCAAACUUACCUAAGGACUGUUUUCCAUUAUUUAACUCAAAACAUUUACAACCAAAACUCCUAAGGUGUGAAAUAUUUGGUUUCCUACCCUUGUAAAGUUCAUAUGGAGUCUUUGAUAUCAUGGCUCUAAUUAAGACUCUAUUAAGUAUAUAUGCUGCUGUGUUCGCUACCUCAACCCAAAAAUAUUUUGGUUGGUUAUUCUCACAUAGCAUAGUUCUAGCCAUUUCUUUUAAGGUUUAGUUUUUCUUUUCUACAACUCCAUUUUGCUAGGGUGUUCUAGGUGUAGAAAAAUUAUGAUCCAACCCUUUUUCAUUGCAAAAAUUCUCAAAUUCAUCACUUUCAAACUCUCCUCCAUGAUCACUCCUAAUACUAACUAUGGCUAGUCUUUUUUCAUUCUUAACUUUCCUACAAUGACUUAUAAAUGCUAGUAGAGCAUCAUUCUUAUGAGUAAGAAAAUAAACCCAAGUGUACCUAGAGUAGUCAUCAACUAUUACAAAGCCAUAAGAUUUUCCUCCUAGACUAGUUAUACUUAUUGGACCAAAUCGAUCAAUGUGCAGCAAUUCAAGAGGUCUAGUUAUUGACACAAUCUUCUUAGUCUUAAGGGAUGUUCAAACUUGUUUUCCUAGUCGGCAAGCAUCACAUAUUUUAUCAUUUUAAAAUUUUAUAUUCGGUAGUCCAACUACAGUACCCUGUAUUUUGAUAUGGUGGCUAAUAAAGUUUGCAGAUGCCAAUUGAGGUUAAUUACUGAGUUAAAAAGGGUAAUUCAGAAGUGAACCUAUGAAAUCUUGAUCUCCAUAGACACAUAACUAGAAGUAGACGCGAUAAUGAGAACCAGGGAUAAUUUUGUAAUUUUUUUUAGUGAGCUCUUACGAGUGGGUUUUUUUUAUGCUAUUAAUAUGAGACCCCAACCUAUAUAGACUUGUAACUAAGCAUAGAUGUAAUAAUACGAGGUAGGGGUAAUUUUGUCAUUUUCUCUAAUAAGCUUUCAGAAGAAAGUUUUAUGAUAUUUUAAGGUCAAAAUGGGUAUAAGACUGCAUAAAUGAUUUGUGCUGGUGAAAACACGAAGAAAUCUAGAAAUUUCAAUAAUUUUCAUAACAGGGGCAAAAUGGUUAUUUUUCACGUUGGGUUAAAAUUUUAAGUUUUUAUGAACCUGAACAUGUUUAGACCAUUAUGGACCUUGUCCCAGUAUUAAAAGAGCAAAAAGAUUGCAUAAAAGAUUGGAGGAGAAUAAGUAAAAAUGGUGGAGGGGCAUUUUCGUAAUUUUAAGGAAAAAGAUAAGAUUGGCUAUAAAUAUCUUGAAAUUUCCAACACCUUCUUGAAUUUCUAGCAGCUGGUCUUUUUCUUCCCUUCUCCUCUCUCACAUUUCUUCAAUGUUUUCAUGAGAGUUUUCUUCAAGCUUCCAUAACUUUCUCUCUCUAGCUCCAAUUUUCAUGCUUUUGGUGUACUCUUCCAUAAACCCUUAUGCUUUUUCAUCCUCUCACUAUAAAACCCUUCAAAAAUCUGAUUUUCAUACUUUCUCUCACUAGUUGGACAUUCUAGAGAGAGAAAGAGAGAAUUACACCAUUUAUUUAGAAGCUAUUAGGAAAGAAUUUGACUACAAAGGAGCCCUAGGGUAAGUGAUGAAUUAAGCUUAGUUUUUAGCUGCAAAAAAUGGCUAGUAAUUGGGAUUUAUAAGCUGUUUAUUGUUGAGUAUGUUCAUUACUUUUAGUGAUUAAGAUAGUGAACAUAGAUGGCCAUUUAAUGUGGCAAUUGAAAACUAGCUAAGAAAUAGCUUUUAGGGUUCAUAGUGUGUAAAAUUGACCUAUUGCUUAUGCUAAUGUGAUCCUAGGUUCUAAGGAAGCCCCAUCAUCCCAUUUGGACAAUUAGAGGAAUUAGAGUCAUCUAAAGGCUUUACAAUCAAUUAGUGAGUGGACUGCCUAUCAAAAUUAUUUUGGAAAUAUGACUGUUUUGAACAAAGUGUUUGAAUGAUUUUAUACAACUUUUCUAAAAAAUGAAUGCCUUGGGAACAAGCUCUUGUGAAAUGGUUUAUGUUAUGAUAUUUUGGUUAUUACGGAUUUCUAUGUGGCUGCAUUAUGUUGAUAUACAUAUAUGCUUGAAUAUAAUGUUGUGUAAUUAUAUUGACUCGGCUAUGUGUGAGUAGGGAGUGCGCAUAAAUCGAGGAUGACUCAGUUAUGUGAGAGUAGGGAGUGCGCAUAACCCGGUGAUGACCCAGCCAUGUGCGAGUAGGGAGUGCGCAUGAGUUGGUGAUGAUAAUGAUGGGAUGGUGUGCAUGAUGAUGAUGGGAUUGUGUGCAUGAUGGUGAUGGGUAUAUGUAUAUGUAUACAUACGUAAACAUGUGUGUUAUAAGAAAUUUAUGAGUUAUGUAUAUGGAUGUAAUGUAUGUGGGAUUUAGUAUGUUAAACUUUGGGAAGUUGUUAUGUAUUUCUUAUUGGUUUUGAACAUUUCAAGCAGGGUGGUUUUCUUUGGGAGAAAUAGAAAUUUUCGUUAGGUGCCUUGUAUUUCGCUGUAGCGAGAAACUCUUAGGUUUGAGAACCUUCACCAGAACUGGUUCUCGCUGCAGCGAGAAUGUAUUUCGCUGCAGUGAGAUAGUCACUGUAGCUUAUCGCUGCAGCGAAAAGGAAUCUCCCUGCAACGAAAAACUCUCUGUUUCAUCAGUUGAAUUUCGCUGUGGUGAGAAAGAAUUUCGCUGCAGCGAGAAACCUUCUGUUUCUGGGUUACAAUUUUGCUGCAGCGAGAAAGAAUCUCGCUACAACAAAAAACCUUAUGUUUUGGUCUCCUAUCUUGUCCAAUUGCUGCCUUAUCUUUCACUACUUUGCUACCAUAUCGGAGCAUGGACUUUCAACAUUAAGGAUUAGAUGAGUUAAGUUUAAAAUGGGGAGGUUCAGUGAGAAACCCUCGGCCAGUUUAGAAACCCUCGUUCGGCUAAUAACUAAAUCCCAACGUCGUUGCAACGGAAAUUCAUUCUCGCUGCAGCAUAGCUGCAGCUAGAAUGCUUUUUCGUUGCAGCAAAGAUUCGUUGUCGUAUUUGACUUGCUUGUGUAAUAUUGAAGCUUUCAUUCUUCAAAUGGUUCGUUAUGUAUGGGUUCAUGAUUUUCAAAGGAUUAAUCAUUUAAGGGCUUGAUGAGGGGUUUUUAAUAAGAAUUGAAACAAAUUGCAUUGUUUUGAAAAAGAAUGCAUCAUGAUUUCAUUAAAGAUUCCUUAUGGUAUGCUCGUUCCCUUCCUUAUUCACUCACUGGGUUUAUACUCACCGUUUUUAACUUCAUGUUUUCAGAUCACGAGGCAGCAGGUAAUUAGGAUGAGGUGUCCUUGUAGACUUAUAUCCAUCUUUUGGUAGGUGUCUCGGCAUUCAGUAGCUGUACAUUCGUCCGAGUCCCUCUGCUGGAAGUCAAAUCUUUUUUUUUUUAGAUGUAUAGACAAACUUGAUGUAAAUUAUUAAGAUACAUGUUGUAGGCAAUGUACAUUUAAUUGAUAUGCCAGUAUGAGUUGGCGAAUGUUUAAUUUUAUUAUGAUUCUAAGUUAUGAAAUAGGACUUAGUAGUUAUGAUGAAUGAUGAGUACGUUAGAUUAAUAGGCUUGCUUGGGCUUAGUGGAUUACAUCCAUUGGGCCCAUGCGCUGGUCGUGGCACGAAAUUUGGAUCGUGAAAAUUAAGGUCUAAAUAGGCCUAAGGAAUGAAUAAAUGAUGUUUAUGAUGGUAAAUAAAUGAAGAAGAUAAAAAUAAUGAUAAUUUCCAAGGAAGGGGCAAAAUGGUCAUUUUGCAUCUUGAGUCUAAAUUUUUAUGCUUUUUGUGAACUCGAGUAUUUCUAGACUAUUAUGGACCUUGCCUUAGUGUCAAAAGAGUAAAAGGUUGCACAAAGGAUGAGAGGAAGAAAAAGUCACCAUGUUAAGGGCAUUUUGGUAAUUUAAGUGAGAAAUGGAUAAACUUUAUAUAUAAAUAUCUAAAGCUCCAGCAAUUUCUAGCAGCUUCCAAUCACUUUUUCUUCCUUCCCCCUCUCACGUUUCUUCAUCUCCAUGAGAGCCUUCCUUAAAGCUUCCAUAACUUUCUCUCUCUAGCUUCAAUUUCAUGCUUUUGAGCACUUUUUAAUAGAACCUUUUGUGCUCUUUCACUCUCUCACCUUAAAACCCUUAAAAAAGUCUUACUUCCAUCUUCCUCUCACUAGCUGGACAUGUAGAGAGAGAGAGUGAUUUCCCUUGUUAGCUUGAAGAAUUUUGAAAGAGAAUUCAACUACAAAGACCAUCAAGGUGAGUAUAAGUUAGGGUUAAAUUUCUUUAGUUGUUGAUAAUGGCUAACAAUGGGGUUUGUGAGUAUUUUAUCAUUGAGGUUGUUUAUUCACUCUUAGGGUGACUAGAGUAGUGUGAAUAACUAGCCAUUUAAUGGCAAUUGGAAGCUAGUUAGGAAUAACUGGUGGAACUUGAUUAGGAAAGAGCUUUUGGAUUAUAUUAAUGCCAAUUUGGGUUAGUUGUGAUGUUGUGUGUGUAUAGGUUCCAACAAGGCCUCACAGGUCCAUUUGGAGUAUUAGUUGAGGUUAGAUUCAAGCAAAAGAAUCAACAAGACCGGUGAGUGAACUUGCAUUUCAAAAUUUGCUUUGGGAGAUGUAAAUGUAUUUGGAUGUAACAUUUGAAUGAUUUUAUCCAACCUUUGUUUAAAAAUGCGUGUCGACGAACAAGCCCUUGAUAAAAUGCUUUGAUGUUGUGAAAAUGUGAAAUGUGUAAAAGGAUGAAUCCAUGUGCUCCUAUAUUAUGUUGAAAUGUAUGUAUAUGAAUAUACAUUGUGCAUUGAUGAAUAAUGUUGUCUGAGGAUGUUGAAGUGUGUGAGUAGGGAGUGCACACUUGAUGAUGAUUGCAUAUGUAUAUAUAUGUGUGUGUUAUAGAAAGUUAUGAAAAUAAUUGUGAUUGUGUUGCAAGUUGGCAUUGUUAAUUGCUCUCAAAUUGCUUUUCAUUUCAACAAAAAAUGGCUUUUAAUGUAACAAGACCCAUUUCAAUUAAAAUGCUCUAUUUCUCACUGCAACAAGAUUCAUUUUCGCUAUAGCGAGAAACUCUCGGGUUUUGGGGGUCACACUAGCCUGAUUCUCACUGCAGUGAGAAACUCUCAAGUUCUAGUGCAAUGCUUUCACUUUGAUAAAGAUUUUGACAACCUUCCCACCCGAAUUGGGAAAAGUGGUAAACAUAAAAGUUUAUCCCUGCCUCUUAUCUUUCUAAUGGUAUAAAAAUAAGGUCAAUUGAACUUUUUUAGUGGGAUAUAUGAUAGAAAAACUGAAACAUAUGCAAACUAAGACUGUUUCUCGCUGCAACGAGAAACUUGGUGCCAUGCUUGCUACCUUGCUUGAUUUUGACCUAUUUUUCACCCAUUUAACUUCAUGGAUUGAUCAUGGGUUUUUCCAACACUAUGAGGUUAUUGAUCAAAGUUUGAAAUGAUGGGUUUUUAGUAAGAAAUUAAAUCAAUUGCAUUGUUUUUGAAACAAGUGCAUCAUGAUUUCCAAAUUCCUUCUAUCGAUUGCUUGUUCCCUUCUUAUGUUCACUCACUGAGUUUUAUACUCACGUUUUUAAACUUCAUGUUUUCAGAUUUGGAGGCAGUUGGGACCUAGAUUGAGUUGUCUACUAUGCUCGCCUUUUUGGUAGGUACUAUGGCAUCUCAGUAGCUGUACCUUCACCCACGGUCACUCCGCUAACGGUCAAGGGUCUGUUACCUGUGAACGAGUAUAUGUAAUGUAAUCUGCUAGGAUCCAUAUUAUAAGUCAAUUAUGUAUAUUUGAUUAUCGAUGCCACUAUGAGAUGGCAAACGGCUGACAUUAUUUUGACAUAAUAAAAUUGUGAGUUUUGGUCACUAUAGAAUAUUACUAAAAUAUUUUUAGUUCAGAAUUUCAAUAUAUAGUUUUAGAAAUGAUGGCUAGGAAUGAUGAUCUGGUUUGCAUAAAAAGGCUUGCUUGGGCUUAGUGGGCUAUGCCCAUUGGGCCCAUGCAUCGAUCAUGGCCCGGUAUUUUGGCUGUGACACCAACAACUAGAUUUUUCUUAAUUAAUUUUGACAUAGUAUGCAUGCUCACAUGUCCUACUCUCCUAUGCCAUAGCCCACUAUCAUUUUUAGCAUUUGCCACUAAACACAUUUCACAAUUCAUUUCAAGAUCUUCAAGAAAUACAACAUACAUAUUCUUUAAUCUUCUUCCUAUAAAUGAGACUUUAUUAGUGCUUAUAUCUAUCACUUCACACUUAUUUGAAUCAAAGCAUACUUUAAAUCCUUUAUCACACAAUUUACUAAUGCUCAAUAAAUUAUGUUUCAAGCCUUUAACCAAUAACACAUGACUGAUUUGAGUUUGGGAGUUCUUACCAGCCGUUCUUAUACCAUGGAUUCUACCUUUUGAAUCAUCACCAAAGGAUACGGUUCCUCCCUUUCUUUUGUCCAGCUUAGCAAAUAGCAUUUCAUCUCCUGUCAUGUGCCUUGAGCAGCCACUAUCCAUAUACCAAGGCUGCUUCUACUUGAGUUGAGCUCUUGAACAUGUCUCCUUUAAGUGCAACUCAACCUACAAGACAGAUUUUCAAUUUUUCUUUAUAGGUACCCAUACCUUGAUGGGUCCUUAAUUGUUAGUUGCAAUAUAGGAUCCUUUUGGAACCUAUAUUUUUCUUAUUUUCUGUGUGCUUCUUUUCUUAAAAUAAUCAUAUGAUAAAUGACCAAGUUUAUUACAAAUAUAGCAUCUAGAUAAUGCAUUAGCAGAGUUUUUCUUGUAGUAUACAUUUCUUUUUGAAGUUUCAUUUUUCAAACUUUUUAGAGCUAUGUUUUCAUCAAGUGUUUUUUGCAAAGCUUCAGAUUUAUUGUCCAGCUCUAAUUUUAAAACUUCAAAAUCUAUUUUUGAAUGUUCUAACUCAACUUGUAGAAAAUUUCUUUGCUCAAAUAUAUAAUUGAACUCUUCUCUUAUCUUUUCCAAAUCAUUUUUAAGAGAUGCAGCCUUUUUCCUUAAAGUCUUGUAUUUUGAAAAGAGUUUUUCAAAUUCAUCAUAAAUGCACUCAUACUCUUCUUAUAAAUCAUCAAUGGAAAUAUUGCAAGGGGAUGAGGAUACCUUGGAUUCAUCAUCUCUGGUGAUUAGACAUAAAUUUGCUCUUUCUUUAGCUUUUUCUUCUUCAACAUUUAAGCUUGAAGUAUCAUUGUCUGACCAUGUUGCAGCCACCAUUGACUUCUUCGAUUUUUUGCUUUUCUUUGGCUUUUCUUCCUUUUGCAUCUUUGUUUCUCCAUAUAACUCUUCUAAUUUUUGCCAAAUUUUCUUGGCACUUUUGCACAUGGACACUUUAUCAUAUUCUCUAAAAUCAAGUGCACAAAUGAAAGUGUGCAUGGCCUUAGAGUUGAUUUGUGCUCUCCUCAUUUCAGCUUCUAUCCAUUUAUUUCUAUUUUUGGGAGUUUUCUUACCAUUGACCAAAUUAAUGAUCAUAGGAAUGAAAGGACCAUCAGUAAUGACAUCCUAUAUCUCAUAAUCUAUUACCCUAAUAUAUAUUGACAUUCUAGUGCUCCAAUAAGGACAGUUAGAUCCAUCAAACAAAGGUGGUCUGUUUGUUGAUUGUCCCUCAGUAACUACUAAUUUUUGUAGAGCCAUUUGGAUCUUCCCAAGGGUGUUAGAUCUUAAUAACAAGGGUUGGGCUCUGAUACCACAUGUUGGUCACAAGUAAAUGUGCUAGAGGGGGGGUAAAUAGCACAAUUUGGCUCUUAACAAGAUGAAGAACUAAUAUGAAAAGUAAUGAAAAUAAAAACAAAGUAAACAAUGCGUAGGAAUUUAGAGUGGUUCGGUCCAAGACCUACAUCCACUAUUUUGAUUAUCCAACCAAGGAUUUUCCAAACUAAUCCACUAUGAACCGGUGAAAUUCACAAGCUUUUACCAAGUUUGACAAUGACUUUUACCAGGCUUAGCCAAGACCUUUCAUAAUGGUUUUUACCGGGAUCAACCAAAACCCAAAGUGAUUUUUCAAAGGCUCAACCACAACCUUUCACAAUGGUUUUUCAUAGGCUCAACCAAAACCCAAAGUGGUUUUACAAAGGCUCAGCCACAACCUACAAUAAUGGUUUUUCACAAGAUCAACCAAAACCCAACAACUAACUUUUUAAGGCUAAGUUAGAACCUAUACACUCAAUCAUACAAUCCAAGCUUGAAUAAAUCCCUUAGAGUGACUCCCUCACUUUAAGAAUACAAAGAGAAAAGUAAUGAGAAUGUACCUAUGAUCACACGGUUGAUCUAAGUGGUACAAGUGAAGUGCAUAUCACAAUUACAAGGAUGAGAGUUGAGUGCAGUAAAUGAGCAUUGAGUAUUUGUAGGUUUUUCAACUCUUUUUGUGUUCUUGGAAACCUUCAUUCCAUUUCUAGCCGUUGGAACCCUCUUUUAUACUUGAAAAACCAGCUCUGAUGUGAGUUAGACAGUUUUUGACCGUUGGGAAUAGUUUGGUAGCAAUUAUCACCAUUAAUCUCUCUUCUAGUGCACAAUUCAAAAUUUUGGCAGAAUGCUUUUAGUCAACUAAUCGAUAUCUUAGUCGACUAAAUUGUCUCUGUCUUCUUAUCCCAGUUUUUGAUAGUUCUGGCAGUGUGCAUUUAGUCGACUAACUCAUUCCUUGGUCGACUAAGUUGGUUUUGUUUCUCAAUACUCUUCAGCCCGCCAACUUUUGAUUUAAAUCUUAGCUGACUAACUCUUCAUUAAUCGACUAAGCGGCUUUUGUCUUGUUGAUCAAUUAUAACUUCCUUAUUUCUAUGCUCUUUGAUAUGUGCAUUUGAAUGAUUGAUUAAUAUUUGCAUUCAAUUUUUGUUCUGCACACUCAAUUAGAAAUGUUAGACACAAAUGAAUGGGAAUGUUUUAUUAUCAUCAAAAACUAAUUGAGCCAACAAACUAAUUGCCUUAUUAUUCUUUUUACCCUUAGCAAGCAUGAAUAUUGUUGUAAUAUUAUGUGGAAUUCUUGUGCAUAACGUCAUUUUAAAAUGUGAUUUCCAUAUUUGAGCACUAUGUUUCUUAUUUUGUUUCAUGAUGUACAUUUAAAGAAUGAAUAUGUGAAUGUAAAUUUUCAAACUACAGUUAGAAUUUUAGAAUUUGUUUGAUCAUUCUUUGAGGUGAAAUUCUAGGUUAUACUUAGCUAGGAAAUGACUUAGGCCAGUUUUGGAUCAAUUGGGCUUUUUCAAGCUACCUUAGUCAAAUUUAUCCUAGUACACUUCUAUGAGCCUCAAAUUUAUCUUUCUCUCUGUCAACUAGAAAUCAAUUAUCCUACCUUGUAAAUAAAUUUCCAAUUCCAUUAUCUUCACUCCUAAGCAAAUUAUAUUGUUUUAGGAUUUAUAUGGAUAAAAUGUUGAAAAAGUAGAAAGGAUGAGUGAGAAAAAAUUUCAACCAUGAUGAGAAGCAUUCAUUCUACUAACGUCAAAGAAAACAAGUUUGAAGGGAUGUUGAAUUGUGAAUAAAAUAAAAUUUAUGCUUGAUGAAUGAAAAGUGACAUUUAUAUCUAGGUUUAAUUUUAUUAUUAGACUUAUUAAAAUUUGCAAGAUAAGUCCUUAAUAUUAUAGCAAUUAUAAUAUUUAACUAAUCCAUAAUUAAACCCCUUUAAUUAGGUCCUUAGUAGUUAAAACUUAGAAUUUGAUUUAAAGCUAACUUAAAUCAUCACACUCUCAAUUUAAUCCAAAUUGAAACCUUUGUGUGUGACCGACUAGGUUCCUAACUUGUAGGGAAUGGAAUUGAAUUAUAAUUUUAUUAAUUAAUUAAUUUAAAUGAAUCAUAUUCAAUUUUAAAUUAACUAAUUCAAUUCCAUAUACCAAGAUUGAUGUCUAGCAAUGCAUCAUGGCCAUCCAAUUAUUAGGAGAGUCAAAGGAUUCUUUGACAAGUUUUCAGUGUACAUUUUAUCAGUGUCAUUCAAUCCCUCAUCAUAUAUCUGUUGGUAUAUGCCCUUCAGUCAAUUGUACUGGUCAAGGAAUAUAUACUGUCAUUUAAUGCAUACUUAAGUGCAUAACUAUAUUUGGUAGAGGUUUUUCUUCAUGUUAGUACAUUAAUAAGGAGUUAUUAAGUACUAAUUGGAUGAAGCCCAUGGAACAUAAAGGCUUUACAAGAGAAUUGUAAUAUAAUUAUGAGAUCAUUAUGCAUCAAAGCCAUGUUCUUAAAAUUAUUCCUCGUUAUUCUAUUGUCAAGGUAGGGCAUUGACAAUGCUAAAAGACUAGUAUAUGUUAAGCCUCCUUAUUAGGGAAGUAAGCAAUUGAUCUCAUAGAUUGAAUUAUAUGGGAUACUUGAGGAUAGCAUGUGGGUGCUUGUUAAAGAACAAGUUCAUUGAACAUGACCUGCAAUAAGAACUCCAUUUGGUAUUUUACUCAAGUGUUUAUGGAAUAUGUUCUCAUGUGAUAGUUGUGCAACUAGUCCUCAGAUGUGAGACAUUAGGCCAUCUUGUAUGAGGAAUGACAUACUUAUGAUUUCACCUCUAUAGGUAUAAAAGUGACCAGAUGCCUAAAUAGGUUGUUUUUGGGUAUGCCAUGAGGCAUGCAAAGGUGGAUGAGUGAUCAAGAGAGGAUUCAUCACCCCAAGUGAUAUGAGGGGAUGUAUCUCACUUAUCCUCAAUUCUAGAUUAACUUGUAUGAAGUCUUUGGCCAAAGCAUGAUGAAUUUAAGGAAAGUUAGUUUCCUAAAUUCAUAAAGUAAGUCAUGAAUUAUGAGAACUAAUAUGGAAUGUCAUAAGUAGACACUGAGCCAUGCUUUAUGACAUAUCCGGGAUAUUUGAUGAAAAGACCGUAUUGCACUGAGAGGCUUAUCACUGAAGGGGUUUGUCAAAUUCUUUAAUUGACUCUUUAACAUUUUGGUGGUCAUGCUGUAUUGCUAGAUGUUGUUCAUGAUCUAUAAAUAUAAAUCAAUUAUCAAAUUGAGAUUUGUUAGGAUUUAUAUUUAUUGCCAACACGUUGGAAGCCUAAUAUCACAGCCCAAAUCCCGAGCCAUGACCGAUGCAUGGGCUCAAUGGGCAUAGCCCAUUAGGCCCAAGCAAGCCUCUUUAUGAGAUCCUAUUCCUCAUUCCAUCCAUCACCUUUAAAACCAUGUGUUGUAAUUCUCAACGGUGAAUGUUUCAGUAAUAUUUUAUAGCAACCGAAUAUUCAUAUUCGUAUUUUCUCAAAGUACUGUCAUUUAUUGCCAUCUCAUAAGGGCAUCAUCAUCAAUCCAACAUAUACAUACAUCAUUUAUAACAUGACUCCUAGUAGUUUACAUUACAUAUAUGUAUACACAAACAAAAGACUCUCAACCGUUAGCGGAGUGACUUUAAGUGAAGGUACCGCUAUUGAGAUGCCAUAGUACUUACCAAGAGGAUGAGCAUACGUGGACACUCAAUCUAGGUCCCAACUGCUAGGAGCGGCAUGAUUAGAGCAUCAACGCAGUUGCAUAAAAAAAUUAAAAUAAUAAAAAAAUAAAAAUCACGCCUCCUACAUUUGGAUCAUCUUGGUUGUUUAAUGCAAAGUUAUGUACCACAUAAAAUCAGAAAAAGAAUGUACCUUUCCAAGUGAUAUCGUAAUCAAAUGGAUUCCUUUUGGUGACAAAACACAAACACCUUUGGUGUAAAAGAAUCCCAGCCACUCAAUCACUUGGCCUCCAAUAAUGCACACACGAUUGCAACGGAUCCUUCUCAAAGAGAGAGCUUUAUGCCACGGGCUUGUGCUAGCAAGUGGACAACGAUUUGUCGUCUUUUCUUCUUUGAUUUCCAACAAAGAAUCAAAGGAGAAGUUUUCAAAAGAAAAUAACCAUCUUAAAAGUGGCAACACUCAAGAGAAAAAUCCUUCUCCACAAAAAAGAGUGGCUAUAAUGUGAUAUUUAUAUCUAGGUUUAACUUAUUAAAAUUUGCAAAAUAAGUCCUUAAUAUUAUAACAAUUAUAAUAUUUAACCAAUACCUAAUUAAACUCUUUUAAUUAGGUCCUUAAUAGUUAAAACCUAGAAUUUGAUUUAAGUCUAACUUAAAUCAUCACACUCUCCAUUUAAUCUAAAUUGCAACCUUUGUGUGUGACCCAUUAAGUUCUUAACAUGUUGGCAAUGGAAUUGAAUUAUAAUAUUAUUAAUUAAUUAAUUUAAAUGAAUUAUAUUUAAUUUCAAAUUAACUAAUUCAAUUCCAUAGACCAUGAUUGGCAUUUAGCAAUGCAUCAUGGCCACCCAGUUGUUAGGAGAGUCAAAGGAUUCUUUGACAACCUUUCAGUGUAUAGUUUUUUAGUGUAAUUCAUUCCCUCAUCAUAUAUCCUGAAGAUGAUAAGAGCUUAGUGCAGUGCCUAUUCUUAUUGAUCUCCAUAUUUGUUCUUGCAAUUAGAUCAGUAGCUUUAUGCAGACUUAUGAAACUCAUUUCAUAAUCUCCUAAUCACCUUGGCCAAGGAUUUGAUUAAGCUAAUAUCAACCAAUAACUAAUGAGAUAUUUCCCUUUGAACACUUGGGGUGAUGGUUCUUACCUUGACCACUCAUUUGCCUUCACACUUCAUGCUAUACCCAAAAGCAUCCUGUUUUGUCAUCCUUGGUUAGGCACCCAUAGGGAUGAAAUCAAAGCAUAACACUUCACACAUAAGACAACCUGGUGUCUCAAGUCUAGGGAGUAUUUACAAAACUGACACAUGAGAAGUAUUGCAUAGACACUUGAGUGAAAUACCAAAUGCACUUCUCAUGGUGGGUCAUGUUCAGUGAACUCGCUUUCCCAUGGCAAGCACCCACAUGCUAGUUCCAGGUAUCUUUAUACUUCAACCUAUGAGAACGAUUGCUUACUUCACAAGUAAGGAACAUAACAUGUGCCAAUCUUUGAGCAUUAUUGAUGCCCUGUCUCAAUAAUACAAUGAUUAGGAACUUUUAGGAACAAUGCUUUAAUGCAUAAGGAUCUCAUAAUUGUAUCCCAAUACAAUUCCUUUGCAAGGCAUAUAUAGUUCCAUGGGCUUUAUCUACAUAAGUACGAAAAGUAAUUAAAUCACAAACUUAUGGAUAAAGAACUACCUCAAUGUUAUUAUGAAUAACAAAAUGUCAUACAUGAAUAUCUCAAAAUUGUAAUUCCCAUACAACCACAGAUUGGCUUGUAGGGCUUAUAUUAAAAAUCUCCCACUAGCACUAAAGCUAAUUGCCUAUGUAUCUAAUACCAAUGUUCUCAACAUGACGAUCAUGCUUCUGCUGGGACAGUGCUUUAGUGAGAGGAUCAGCAAUAUUAUGCUCAGUGGGUAUACGCUCUAUGCAAAUGUCUCCUCUUCCAAUGAUCUCCCUGAUCACAUGGUAACGUUGCAAUACAUGUUUGGAUUUUUGAUGAGACCUUGGUUCCUUUGCUUGUGCAAUGGCUCCAUUGUUAUCACAAUACAAAGGUAUUGGAUCAACAAUACUAGGAACCACAUCUAGUUCAGUAAUGAACUUCUUAAUCCAAACUGCCUCUUUUGCUGCCUCAAACGCAGAGAUGUAUUUGGCCUCAGUUGUAGAAUCUGCAGUCGUCUCUUGUUUGGAACUCUUCCAACUCAUUGCACCUCCAUUGAGUGUGAACACAUAUCUACUUUGUGACUUGCUAUCAUCUUUGUCAGUUUGAAAGCUUGCAUCCGUAUAACCCCUAACUUGGAGUUCACCUCCUUCAUAAACUAGAAAUACACCCUUAGUUCUUCAUAAGUACUUCAGGAUGUUUUUCACAGCUAUCCAGUGACUUUGACCCGGAUUAGCUUGGUAUCUACUCGUGACACUUAGAGCAUAAGAUACAUCUAGUCUGUUGCAAAGCAUCGCAUACAUGAUAGAUCCUAUUGCUAAAGCAUAUGGGAUCUUAUCCAUGCGAUCUCUCUCUUCUUGAUUCUUUGGACACAUGUCCUUGGAGAGAUAGAUGCCUUGCGACAUAAGCAAGUGUCCUUUCUUGGACUCCAUCAUGCUAAACCUCUUUAGCACCUUGUCUAUGUAUGUGGAUUGGGAAAGACCUAGCAACCUUUUAGACCUAUCUUUAUAGAUCUUUAUUCCAAGAAUGUAAGUUGCUUCUCGCAAAUCCUUCAUGGAGAAUUGUUUUGACAGCCAAAUCUUUGUAGAUUGCAGCAAUGGUAUAUCAUUUCCUAUGAGUAAUAUGUCAUCAACAUAUAACACUAGGAAAAUUAUGGCACUCCCACUAACCUUUUUAUAGACACAUGGUUCAUCCUCAUUUUUGAUGAAGUCAAACCCUUUUACAGCUUCAUCAAAAUGGAUGUUCCAACUCCGAGAAGCUUGCUUAAGUCCAUAAAUGGACUUUUAAAGCUUGCACACCUUAUUAGCAUUAGCAUUGGAUAUAAAACCUUCAGGUUGUGUCAUGUACACUUCCUCUUGCAAGUUUCCAUUAAGGAAUGUAGUUUUUACAUCCAUUUGCCAUAUUUCAUAAUCAUGGUAUGCAGCAAAUGCAAGCAAAAUCCUAAUGGAUUUAAGCAUAGCAACUAGUGAAAAGGUUUCUUCAAAGUCAAUAACUUGUCUUCGUUUGUAACCUUUUGCUACUAGUCUAGCGUUAAAGGUUUGCACCUUGCCAUCUACAUCGGUCUUUCUCUUAAAGACCCACUUGCACCUAAUGGGUUUUAUCCCUUCAGAUGGAUCCACCAAAGUCUAUAUGUGGUUGCUAUCCAUGGCAUCCAUUUCAGAUUUCAUGGCUUCUAGCCAUUUCUCAGAAUCGAUGUCCAACAUCACCUCCUCAUAGGUUGUAGGCUCAUCAUUUAUGGGCAAUGCGUCCUUUUCCAAGAGAAAUCCAUAUCUCUUUGGAGCUUGACGUAUUCUACUAGACCUUUUGAGUAGUUGUGCCUCUUGAGAUUAUGGUUGUAUAUCAGAUGUCACAAUCUCAGGUUCAAGUUCCAAUGGAAUGUCAAUUUAUGGGUCUCGAACUUCUUCUAGUACAACUUUACUCCCACUAGCCCUUUCAUUUAAUAACUCUUUCUCAAGGAAAGUGGCAUGCCUUGAGACAAACACCUUUUACUCAAUGGGAUUAUAAAAAUAAUAUCUGUGUGUUUCUUUAGGAUAUCCCACAAAUUUACAUUUGUCUGAUCUUGCUUCUAGCUUAUCAGACAUUGUACGCUUCACAUAAGCAGUAUAUCCCCAAAUCUUAGCAUAAGACAAGUUAGGCCUUUUCCCACUCCAUAUCUCAUAUGGUGUCUUAUCAACUGAUUUGGUAAGAACCUGGUUUAGUAUGCGAGCAGCAGUUUCUAAGGCAUAUCCCCAUAAAGAUAUAGAAAGAUCUACAUGACUCAUCAUGGAUCAAACCAUGUCCAAUAAUGUUCGAUUCCUUCUCUCAGAUACCCUAUUGUGUUGUGGAGUCCCUAGAGGAGUCUAUUGUGCAAGAAUUCCAUUCUCUUUCAAAUAAUGCUAAAACUCUUGGCUAAGAUAUUCUCUUCCUCGAUCAGAUCUAAGAGUGAGAAUACUCUUCCUAGUUUUUUUCUCAACCGCCGCUUUGUAUUCUUUGAACUUGUCAAAGGAUUCAGAUUUAUAUUUCAUCAAAUAUACAUAACCAUAGCGAGAAUGGUCAUCUGUAAAGGUGAUGAAGUAGGAGUAUCCUCCUCUAGCACUACUAUUCAUAGGACCACAUACAUAUGAAUGUACAAGUUCUAGAAACACCCCAGCUCGUUCACUCUUUUUAGUGAACGGCGACUUGGUCAUCUUACCAAGGAGACAACACUCACAUGUUCCAUAAGAUUCAUAAUUAAAUGGAUCGAUGUAACCUUGUUUGUGUAACUUGGUUAAGUGAGUCUCAUUGAUGUGUCCAAGCCUACAGUGCCAGAUGUAGGAUAGUUUUGGAUCAUCUUUCUUUGCUUUUUUGACCUCUAUAUUAAGAAUAGGUCUCUUAGGAUCAAUAAUAUAGAGACCGUUCGAAUGUGUCCCUGCACCAUAAUGCAUCUCUCCCUUUGAGAAAGAACAACAAUUGCCCUUAAUGCAAAAUUCCAUAUCAUCAUAUAAUGCCAAGUAUGACACAGAUAUGAUAUUCCGAGAUAUGGAAGGAACAUAGUAACAGUCUCUUAAUUCCAAGAUCAACCCAAAAGGUAAAGGCAUGGUAAUUAUCCCUACAGCCGAUGUAGCAACCUUUGCUCCAUUACCUACUCUUAGGACCACCUCUCCCUUCUUUAAUCUUCUACUCGUUUCCAGCACCUUCAUGUCAUUACAUAAGUGUGACCCACAUCCAGUAUCUAAUACCCAUGAUGACGAAUCAAUAGUAGACAGAUUUACUUCAAUCAUAUACAUGGUCAAAGAUGAAACUUCUACAAGUUUCUCAUUCUUUGACCUUAUCAAGAAGGCAAGGAUAUCUUCCUUAAUGACAUCUAUUCUAAAUAGAUAUUUGAGAACACUUCUCAACUUGAUAUACCAGUCCAAACAUUUUGGCUCAAAUUUCAUGAUGACAUCAAGUAUGCCUCGCAAAGUAAUAUGUAUUCGCAUUCUAACAACCUAGACAUUUAAAGAAUGUUUAUGAGUAAUCAUGUAUUAUAAUCAAUUAAGAUGAGAUAGUAAAUCUUAAAUUGAUUGCUCCUACUAUUUUUUUCAAGAUGAUAACCCUUCAUAUCACCUCGAGAGAUCUCUACUAGGAUUCUCUUAGUGGGCUAGGAUCCCAUCCAUCUAGUCAUGGCCUUGAGUGUGCUCAACAAGCCAUGAUAGCUGGAUUAGGUAGGUAACUGAGCUUACCAAUUGUAUCUCUAUACUACUCCUAGAUCAGCUAGGUGACAACACAUUGCCUAAACAUAUCAUAUAUGUUUCGCCUAGCCAUUGCCUCUAGUUUCCAUAAUAAUCAAUUUUUCAAGCAUCUGAAUUUUAUGAAACUAGUUGAGUAAGACCCACCAUUAGCUCAAACAUACUCAUGUAAAAGUGAGACCUUGAGUGUGCUCAACAAGUCUUCCAUUAAAAGAGCAGCCAGGUUAUCUUGCUAUAUGGUGGAAGGAAACUUAAUCAUGUGUGGCAUGUGACUCAAUAUUUACUGAGGGAUUUUCUUAUUUUUUUUAACAUAGUUAAGGUCUCAUCUUUGCAUGCAUAGCCUUUAUUAAUUGCAUAAAUAAAUCUAUCUCAUGCAUACUACUUUGGAUGAUUAUGGACUUUAUCUAUACUAAUUUCCUUGAGCCAUUGAAGGAAAUUAGCUUGGUCAAACCUAGGGGAUAACAUACAACAUGUUGCAAUCUUUCUCCUUGUAUCUUCAUGGCACCUUUAGGUCUUCAUCUUCGAAUUGUAAAAUAACUCCUAAACUAAUCCUAAUUCUACACUUAUAUGCAACUAAUUACAUUUUAGUAAAGAAACCUCGUGGUACAUCCGAGGGGAGUUAGGUGAGGAAAGAAUUUUACAAUCCUUGAAAAUCAAGAGAAAGGCAGGGUGCGCAGACCCCAUUUAAUAAAUAAAUACCAUGAUACAAUUUAACCAUACAUCCACAAUCAUAUUGGGCCUAGUCCAUAAUCAUCCACAGACAUCCAUCCACGUGAACAUAAAAUUAAAACUGUCUUAUUCUAAUUGUUAAUCAUAUGAGGCAUCCGAAAUUAGUGUACAACUAAUUUCGAGUUCAUUUUUAAUUCCGUGUAUGGAAACAGUCUUCCAUGUAUGGAAAGUCUUUACUAAUCAGUAUUAGUAAUAUUAUCCAUUCCUAAUCUCAUUAGGAUUAGAAUUAAAAUAUUAUUACAAAUUAAAACAUUUUUAAUUUGUAAUCUUUAAACAUUUUAAGUAACUUUUACUAAUCCUUUUAAAUUAAAGAUUAUGUGUCUUCAAUUAUUGUUUAGUAAAUUAGAGUUUUUAAUUGCACCCAUUUAGGCUGCAAAUAUGGACACUAAAAUCCCAAAAACCAUGAUUUUACAAAAUUCUGGCAGCAGUGUACCAGUCACAGUUUUAUGGCUUGAUGCAGCACCAAAUCAGGGAAUUUAAUUCCCAAAUUUUACCCAUGGUCAGCUAACAUAUGGAACCUUUCCAUAUUAAAAUUUCAUAAUUUUUGGACUUGAUUUAGCUGGUCAACACCCCAAAAAACGCAGCCUAUGUAUCCUGUACAUAGCUGCAGUUUUUGGGUUGCAUAUGUGGCAUUAUGAUGGCAUAAAUCAAGGGAUUAAAUCCCUUAAUUUUAGUGAUCUUUCCAGGCAUCUUUUGAACAUAUUCAAACUUCAAAAUUUAUCCAAAAAGGUACAACAAUUGCACAAUUCUAGGACUCUUUGAAGAUGACUUUCUCAGCAAAAUCAUGACCUGAAACUACUGCUGACAGCAAUGGUUUCAGCCAUGAUUUCAUGGCCUUUCCUUCACCAUUUUCAGCCGGUAAUUAAUCAUAUUGAAAAAAUUUCAAUGUAGAUUACUUCCAAAUUUUUUCAGAAUUUUUGAAGGCUUUUAAACCCCUAUUAAAAACUGAAAAUCAAACCACAUGCAAAUCUGGACAGAAUCGAAUUCUAUCACCAAACCGCAUCUUGUUUCCCAUGUAUUUGAAUCCUUUUCUUGCUAAACUCUUUUGUGCAUCUCAUGCACAUAUUGUUCUGCAAAAUUGAGACACUUGAACAAGAUUAGUUGCUGAAACAAAUAAGUAUUAAAAACCAAAACUCGAAUAUGUGAUAAACUACUUUAAAACAUAAUCGAAAUUUCACACUUACUUGCUCGCUUCCAAAUCCCUCACGUCCAAUCAGAAUUGAAAUUAACAAUAACAAGACAUAACUUUGCAUUAAAACGAGUCAAGGGAGGCUCUGAUACCACUGCUAGGAACGGCAUGAUUAGAGCAUCAACGCAGUGGAAUAAAAAAAAAUUGAAAUAAUAAAAAAAUAAAAACCAUGCCUCCUACAUUUGGAUCACCUUGGUUGUCUAAUGCAAAGUUAUGUACCACAUAAAUCAGAAAAGGAAUGUACCUUUCCACGUGAUAUCAUAAUCAAAUGGACUCCUUUUGGUGACAAAACAUGAACACCUUUGGUGUAAAGGAAUCCCAGCCACUCAAUCGCUUGGCCUCCAAUGACGCACACACGAUUGCAACAGAUCCUUCUCAAGGAGAGAGCUUUAUGCCACAGGCUUGUGCUUGCAAGUGGACAACGAUUUGUCCUCUUUUCUUCUUUGAUUUCCAGCAAAGAAUCAAAAGAAAAGCUUUCAAAAGAAAAUAAACGUCUUAAGAGUGGCAGCACUCAAGAGAAAAAUCUUUCUCCACAAAAAAGAGUGGCUAUAAUGUGAUAUUUAUAUCUAGGUUUAACUUAUUAAAAUUUGCAAAAUAAGUCCUUAAUAUUAUAACAAUUAUAAUAUUUAACCAAUACCUAAUUAAACUAUUUUAAUUAGGUCCUUAAUAGUUAAAACCUAGAAUUUGAUUUAAGCCUAACUUAAAUCAUCACACUCUCAAUUUAAUCCAAAUUGCAACCUUUGUGUGUGACCCAUUAGGUUCCUAACAUGUUGGCAAUGGAAUUAAAUUAUAAGAUUAUUAAUUAAUUAAUUUAAAUGAAUGAUAUUCAAUUUUAAAUUAACUAAUUCAAUUCCAUAGACCAUGAAUGGCAUCUAGCAAUGUAUCAUGGCCACCCAAUUGUUAGGAGAGUCAAAGGAUUCUUUGACAACCUUUCAGUGUACAGUUUUUCAGUGUAAUUCAUUCCCUCAUCAUAUAUCCCGAAGAUGAUAAGAGCUUGGUGCAGUGCCUACUCUUAUUGAUCUCCAUAUUUGUUCUUACAGUUAGAUUAUUAGCUUUAUGGAGACUUAUGAAACUCAUUUCAUAAUCUCCUAAUCAACUUGGCCAAAGAUUUGAUUAAGCUAAUAUCAACCAAGAACUAAUGAGAUAUUUUCCCUUGAAUCACUUGGGGUGAUGAUUCCUAUCUUGACCACUCAUUUGCCUUCACAUGCUUCAUGCUAUACCCAAAAGCAUCUUGUUUUGGCAUCCUUGGUUAGGCACCCAUAAGGAUGAAAUGAAAGCAUAGCACUCCACACAUAAGAUAACCUGGUGUCUCAAGUCUAGGGAGUAUUUACACAACUAACACAUGAGAAGUAUUGCGUAGACACUUGAGUGAAAUACCAAAUGCACUUCUCGUGGUGAGUCAUGUUCAGUGAACUUUCUCUCCCAUGGCAAGCACCCACAUGCUAGUUCCAAGUAUCUUUAUACUUCAACCUAUGAGCACGAUUGCUUACUUCACAAGUAAGGAACAUAACAUGUGCCAAUCUUUGAGCAUUAUUGAUGCCCUGUCUCAAUAAUACAAUGAUUAGGAACUUUUAGGAACAAUGCUUUAAUGCAUAAGGAUCUCAUAAUUGUAUCCCAAUACAAUUCCUUUGCAAGGCAUAUAUAGUUCCAUGGGCUUUAUCUACAUAAGUACAAAAAGUAAUUAAAUCACAAACUUAUGGAUAAAGAACUACCUCAAUGUUAUUAUGAAUAACAAAAUGUCAUACAUGAAUAUCUCAAAAUUACAAUUCCCAUACAACCACAAAUUGGCUUGUAGGGCUUAUACUAACACCAACUGCCUCAAAAUCUAAAAACAUGAAGUUUAAAAACGUGAGUCUAAAACACAGUGAGUGAACAUAAGAAGGGAACAAGCAAUCGAUAAGGAAAACUUGGAAAUCAUGAAGCACUUGUUUCAAAAACAAUGCAAUUGAUUUAAUUUCUUACUAAAAUUCCCUCAUUUCAAACUUGAUUAAUAACCUCAUAGUGUUGCAAAAAACCCAUGAUCAAUCCAUGAAGUUAAAUGGGUGAAAAAUAUGUCAAAAUCAAGCAAGGUAGCAAGCAUGACAGCAAGUUUCUUGCUGCAAUGAGAAACAUUCUUAGUUUGCAUAUGUUUCGGUUUUUCAGGUAUAUAUCCCACUACAGAAUUCCAAUUGAUAUUAUUUUUAGACCAUUAGAAAGCUAAAAGGCUGGGCUACAACUUUUACGUUUAUCACUUUGCCCAGUUAUAACCGUAAGUAGUCAAAAUCCGUGUCAAAAUGAAGGUACUACACCAUAAAUUUUGGAACACCCGAGAGUUUCUCGCUGUAGCGAGAAACUUCAACAAAUUUCUCGCUGCAGGGAGAACUAGGUCAGUGUGACCCCCCCCCCCCAACUCUAAAGUUUCUCGUUGCAGCAAGAUUCAUUUUCGCUGUAGUGAGAAAUAGAGCAAUUUGAUUAAAAGGGGUCUUGUUAUAUCAAAAACCAUUUUCUUGUUGAAAUGAAAAGCAAUUUGGGAGCAAUUAACAAUGCCAACAUACAACACAAUCACAAUUAGUUUUAUAAACUUUCUAUAACAUAUAUAUAUAUAUAUAUAUAUGUAUACAUCAUCAUGCAUACCAUCCUGCCACACUCUGCUCAAUGCAAUAUCAUCAUCAUGUGUGCACUCCCUACUCUCACACUUCAACAUCAUCAUGUGUGCACUCCUUACUCGCAUACUCUAACAUCAUCGUGUGUGCACUCCCUACUCGUACACUUCAACAUCAUCACACAACAUUAUUCAUCAAUGCACAACAUUUAUUCAUAUAUAUACAUACUAACAUAAUAUAGGAGCACAUGGAUUCAUCCUUUUACACAUUUCACAUUUUCACAACAUCAAAACAUUUUAUCAAGGACUUGUUCGCCGACACACAUUUUUAAAGAAAGGUUGGAUAAAAUCAUUCAAAUGUUUCAUCCAAAUACAUUUACAUUUCCCAAAGCAAUUUUAAAAUGUAAGUUCACUCACCGGUAUUUGUUGAAUCUUUACUUGACUCCAACUUCGACUAUUGCUCCACAUGAAAAAGUGAGGCCUUAUUGGAACCUAUCACACACCAACAUCACAACUAACCCAAUUUGCAUAAUUACAAUUCUAAAAGCUAUUUCUUAAAUCAAGCCCCACUAAUUAUUCCUAACUAGCUUCCAAUUACCAUUUGACUGGCUAUCUAUUCUCUCUACUCUAGUAACACUAGAAAUAAAUAAACAAACCUCAGCAAUAAAACAACUCACAACUCCAAUUACUAGCCAUUAUCAACAACCUAAAAUCAAUCCUUAUUCAUUACUCACCUUGGUGGAUUUGUAGUUGAAUUCCUUCUCAAGAAUACUCAAGCUAUCAUGGAAAGUCUCUCUUUCUCUCUCUAAAAUGUCUAACUCGUGAGAGAAAGUGUUGAGGAAAGACUUUUAAGGGUUUUAAGGUGAGAGAGUGAAAGAGCACAAAAGGUUCUAUGAAAAAGUGCUCAAAAGCAUGAAAAUUGAAGCUAGAGAGAGAGAGAGUUAUGGAAGCUUUAAGGGAGGCUUCAAUGGAAGAUGAAGAAAACGUGAGAUGGGAGGAAGAAGAACAAGAAGUUGUUGGAAAAAUGAGGAAGCUGCUAGAGAAAUGAGAUAUUUAUAGCCUAAGCUUAUCCAAACUUCACUUAAAUUAUGAAAACGCCUUUAACAAGUUGGCUUUGUCUUCCUCCAAUCCUUUAUGCAAUCUUUUUACUCUUUUGACACUGAGAUAAAGUCCAUCAUAGUCUAAAAAUACUCGGGUUCACAGAAACUUAAAAAUUUUUACUUGAGAUGAAAAAUGACCAUUUUGCCUUUACCUUAGAAAUCAUCAUUAUUUCUAUUUCCUUCGUCAUUUUAUCCUUAUUUUCAUCAUUCAUUUAUGUCUUAGGCCUACUUAGGCCUUAAUAACAUUAGAAAGCUACUUCUAGGAGCUCACCAUGAGAAAUGACAAAAUUACCCCAAGUUAGUGAUAUCGCGUCUACUUCUAGCUACAAGUCUAUAAAAAUCAAGGUCUCACACCUAAUAGGUCAUGCACAUUAAGUGACAUGAUUGAGAGUAAAUAAGGAUAAUUAAUUAAGUUGGACUUAAUUGGAAUAGAACAAAAUAAAGUGAGAAAUUAAUUAAGUUCACAAGGACUUAAUUAAAUAAAAAUACAAUUGUUGUAUCUACGAUCAGAACUUAGUUUGGCUAUAUAAAUAUGUUAUGUUAGCCAACUAAAACUCUAAGCCUUAAACUACUUCUUAGCCAUUUCAUAAAAAUAAGAAAAGAAAAAUAGCUUUCUUUGUCUAACAGAAAUAAGAUUUGGCAAGAACUUUUGGUCUUUUUUGUUUUAGAAACAAAACUUGCUAGUACAUGUAAAAUCUUAAAUUUGAGAAGGUCUUAUUUGGUCACUGUGUGGAUUACUAUUAGAGGCCAAACACUUGGGUGGCUAAAGAUUUGACAAAUCCUAAAUGUGAAGAAGCAAAGAUUUCGAUUGCAGGAUUUCAGAUUGAUUUGUUCUCUUUUCUUGUUAUUUGCUUCAUCACAAGCCUUUUGGAUUUAAUUGGCUCUUGAUUAUGAUAUCUAAAGCAAGGUGCAUAAUACUUGAACCUAUGAGUGUUCAAAAUUAAUUUGAAUAUUACAUGAAAUACAUAAAUAUUAAUCUUGUGAGAUUCGACUGUUUCUUUGAUUAAAUGCAUAUUUUAUUUUUUGUUGUGUUAUUUUUUUAAUUUCUUCAUUAUUUUCAUGCCUAAGCAUGAGGUCGAAUCCCAGCAGUGGUAUCAGAGCCUUUGUUUGAUGUUUUUCAUGUAAUUUUUAUGCGUGGUUUUCGGUGAUAAUCAAUAGGAUUGAUUUGUGUGUUGAUUUUGUAUAUAUUGGUUUUGAAGGCUUUCUUUAAAAUCUAUUUUUUUGUUUUAAUUUAAAUUUGGGAAACAUGUAAUUAAUUCAUUAAAACAUGUUUUUAAAGGUUUAAAAUCAUAUAUAGUUGAAGAAUUAAUGAAUGGAUUAAAAGGCUUGCAAAGCCAAGUUAAACCGAAUAGUUUUGAGGAGUUUUAGAGACUAGUGUGCCGAUUAUUUUUACUAACAUUGGGUAAGUGUUGUGAGUAGUUUUUUAAUUGUAAAAAAAUGGUUUUAUCAAAGUAAAUUUGUCACAGCCCAAUUUUUUGAGUUAUGAUCGGUGCAUGGACCCAAUGGGCAUAGCCCACUAAGCCCAAGCAAGCCUUAUUAUAUGAUCUUAUUCAUCAUUAUAUCAAUCUUAAUUCUUAAUUCUCAAUUAUAAGUGUUACCGUAAUAUAUCAUAAUAACCAAAUACUUAUAUUUGCAUCAUCCUAAAAAUAGUGUCAUCUAUUGCCAACUCAUAGUGGCACCAUCAAUCAAAAUUGUGAGACCUUGAUCUUUAUAGACGCGAUAUCACUAACUAGGGGUAAUUUCGUCAUUUUCUUAGUGAGCCCCUAGAACUAUGCUUUCAAAUAAUAUUAAGGCCUAAGUAGGCCUAAGGCAUAAAUGAAUGAUGAAAAUAAGGAUAAAAUGACAAAGGAAAUAGAAAUAAUGAUGAUUUCCAAGGUAGGGGUAAAAUGGUCAUUUUUCAUCUAGAGUCAAAAUUUUAAGUUUUCAUGAACCUGAGUAUUUCUAGACUAUUAUGGACCUUGUCCUAGUGUCAAAAGAGUAAAAUAAUUACACCAAGGGUUGGAGAAGGACAAGCCAACUUGUUAAGGGCAUUUUCGUAAUUUAAGAAAAGAUUAGAUAAGCUUUAGCUAUAAAUAUCAUUUGUUCUAGUAGCUUCUUCAUUUCUCCAACAGCUUUUUCUUCUUCUUCCUCCUAUCUCACGUUGCUUUCAUUCUCCAUGGAAGCUUGUUUUGAAACCUCCAUAACUUCCCUCAAGCUAACUCCAAUAUUCAUACUUUUGUGCACCUUUUCAUAGAACCUUUUGUGCUCUUUCACUUUCUCACUUUAAAACCCUUGAAAAGUCUUACUUUCAUACUUUUUCUCACUAGCUAGGUUUUUUAGACAGAGAAAGAGGGAGCUUCUAUAAUAGCUUGAAAUUUCUUUGAAAAAAUUUCAACUAAACUGAUUAACUAAAAUUUAAACCAAUCAAGAAAAAUCAAAACUAAUAAUAACUAAAGAAAAUAUCAAAUUAAACGAGCUUAGGAUUACAAUAUCCCUCACACUUCAUCUAAAUCUUACCUUUCUUCCUUAACUUAUUUCAAUGGGCUGAAUUGCUAACCUAGAGUCCUAAAUUAUUUAUAAGGGUCUCCCGACUCAUCUUAUAAAAAUAUUUGUUUUAACCAAAACACUAUAUCCCUAUGUGAAUUAAAAUUAAAAUAGAUUCAUUAAGUUCAGGUUCUAAUCUAGCUGUAUAUGGCUUAUAGGUAUAUCCCUAUCCUAUACGCAAAUCAAUUAAUAUGAUCAUAUGCUAUCCUAAUUUUAGUCUACUCUAAACUCCCUUUCCCAAGUUUGUUUAGGUUCCUAUAUCAAUUUAAUUGGUGGCCAAGCAAUUAAAAGCAUUAAGAACAAAUUGGAAUAAACAAUUCAAAUCCCAUUAAAAAUAAGUAAGAAAGAGAUUAAAAAUUUAAAUUACAUGUGCGUUCAAUUGCAAUCCUAGAAAAAGAAAAUUAGCUACUCAUAAUUGCAAAAACAAAUAACAUUAUAAUAAAUUCAACCAUUGAGAGUAACAAGAAAAAUAAAAGCCAAGGAAGAAAACAAAACAAUAAUUGUCGCCUUGAUCUCCAAGUUUCAGCCUUAACUUCUAUCUUCUUGAAUCCCCAAAGGUUUUCUUAAAUGUUGUUAAAUAUAUCCUAUUUAUACUAAUAAGCUUAACCUAAAGUUCCUUAAGCUGACCUAGGGUUUAAUUAGGCUUAAAAGUGUAAUGAAAGGCCCAAAAAUCAAUUAUCAAUCUUUACAAAUUUCCAUUUAGACACAGUACAUUUAGCUAUUUUAUGACACGAUUCUCUAUCUUAAAGGUAGAACAUGGCAAAGUGAUCUGCAUUAAAGUUGUAUAUUUGUCUCCUAGCUUUCCAAUGGUCAAAGAAUCAUAUCAUUUGGAGUUUUGUAGCUCAAGAUAUGGCCAAUAUACUCAAGCAUAUGCAAGCAGAUUCUAGGUCUUUCAAAACCUUACUUUCCAAAAUUAAGCCCAAUCACUUUUACUUCUACAAAAAAUAUAAAAACUCAUAAAUAAUAAACAAAUUAAAAGAAAUAACAUAAAAUUAAAAUAACUAACUUAAAAAUAAACUAAUUAUAAAAACAACUAAAAAUAAAUAAAUUAUAAUUAAAAAUUAAGGACUUAGCUAAUAUUUACUAACAAAAUUGGACUAAAAUAAUUCUAUAAAAUAGAAUUAUCAGUCGAAUCUAAGCAAUAUCUCGAAAAUGAUAAGAGCUUGGUACAGUGACUACUCUUAUUGUAGUGAGUAAUCCAUAUUUGUUCCUACAGUUAGAUCAUUAGCUUUAUAGAGAGUUGUGAAACUCAUUUCAUAAUCUUCUAAUCACCUUGGCCAAAGAUUUGACUAAGCUAAUGUCAACCAAGAACUAUUGUGAUAUUUCCCCUUGAAUCACUUGAGGUGAUGAUUCUUAUCUUGGCCACUCAUUUGCCUUCAUAUGCUUCAUACUAUAUCCAAAAGCAUCUUGUUUUGGCAUCUUGGUUAGGCACCCGUAGUGAUGAAAUCAAAGCAUAGUACUCUGCAUACAAGAUAAUCUGGUGUCUUAAGUCUAAAGAGUAGUUACACAACUGACACAUGAGAAGAAUUGCAAAGACACUUGAGUAAGGUACCAAAUGCACUUUUCAUGGAGGGUCAUGUUUAAUGAACUCACUCUCCAAUGGCAAGCACCCACAUGCUAAUUCCAAGUAUCUCUAUACUUCAACCUAUGAGAGUGGUUGCUUACUUCACAAGUAAAGAACAUAGCAUGUGCUGAUCUUUGAGCAUUAUUGAUGCCUAUCUCAAUAAUUCAAUGAUCAAGAACUUUUAGAAAUAAUGCUUUGAUGCAUAAAGAUCUCAUAAUUGUAUCCCAAUACAAUUCCUUCACAAGGCAUAUAUAGUUCUAUGGGCUUUAUCUAUAUAAGUACAAAAAGUAAUUAAAUCACAAACUUAUGGAUAAAGAACUACCUCAUAAUUAUUAUAAAUUAAUAAAAUGUCAUAUACAAAAUGUAAUUCUCAUAUGACCAGAGAUUGGCUUGCAGGGCUCACACUAAUAGUGUACUUGGCAAAGAAAGAUAAGGUUAUAUAGAUCUUAGAAUAAUUAUAUGCUUAGGGUGAAUUAAACCUUAAUAUAUCCCAUAUCAUACCCUAACCUUGGUUGAACACUACAAGCUGAAUAAAGUCCUAAGAAUCCAUAGCUAAGUGAUGGCUUACAUUAGUGGAGAGGGAGGUGAAAAAUGAACAUAUGAAAUUUUAAGCUUGUUGAGAUUUGCAUGGACAUAAUCUUGUCCGAAGUGCAUGAUGUGCCAUAUAAGAAACUUUACACACACAUACACGAAAACUCAUUCAAAAAUUGGGCAUGCACUUGGAUGAAACAUGAACUUAGAUAGUAUCUAUGUUUGAAUUUGAGUUUGGAAGACAAGGUAAUUUAUGAGGAAAUUAAAGAUGAUUAAUGAUUUAGUGCACUCUCAUAGUUGAAGUCUUCAACUGUGUGGUUUCAUUUUUGCUUUUACGUGAGGACUAGCAAAAUAUUAAGUUUGGGUGUUUGAUAAAUUUAUAUUAUAUAGUUAUUUAGCCACAUUUUGAGGUGUUAAUGAAGCUAAGUCCUUGUGUAUUACGUGAGUUUUUUAUACAACUUUUAUGUUUUUGGUUGCUCAGUUUAAAGCAUAUGAAUUUAGUUUAAUUCAUGUAAUUUUAGUAUAUUUUCAUGUCCAAUGUCCUGUUUUAGCCCAAUGUGUUGGUAGGCUUUCAAGUGCAUAAAGUUGAAUGAUGAUGAAAUUUGCAAUGGAGACUAGGUGUAGAUUUUCACUGAACAUGUUGUCGUAAUUCAUACAUAAUUCAAGAUAAAAAGAUUUAAUCAUCAAGAUUCUUGAACCCUAGGAAAGCUAAGAGGAAUACCUAUAGCUUUUAUUAUUGCCAUUGCACCCAAAUCAGCUUUGAGGUAGGAGAAAAUUGUUAGGAAUUUUGAUAAUAUGGUGCCCUGGAAAGCAAGUAUAUUCUCAUGCUUAAAGUCAUUAAAUUUAUUUGUAAUGAAAGUACAUUUUGAUAAUAAGAUGAAGAGUUUGUUUUAUUAAGCAUUCAUUAUCUAGUUAUUAAGGUACCAAGAUUCUAUUGAGAUAUUAAAAUACAUUUUUAUAAAGAGUCAUACAUAGGAGACAUGUAUUUUAAUUGAAUCUAAAAAUUGUUCACAGCCAUAUAAUAAAGCUGGUCACUUUAUUGUGUUAAGGGUGUAGUGUCUAGAUUACUUCUAAUGAAAUGAAUGUGAUUCAUUUCAAGGGAAUGAUGAGUCUUAAAUCAUCAAAAUGGUUGACUUCGAGUAAUGACACUAUAACAUGAAUUGAAAUCAUGUGAGAAUCAAAUUUAAGUUUUACCGUUAUCUGAAUCUUGAUCUCACAUUUAUGCAUUUGCUUAUAGUAGAAUCGAAAUCCUGAUGGAUAGUGGACUCAUGUUUAAUCUCCUUAUAAUUUUUUAUUUACCAUGAGCAUGAUCAUCAUAAAAUGUUGAUCUAGACUCUGUAUUUUGAGAUUAUAAUCGAAAUGAACAUUUGGGAACAUAUAUCCAGAUAAUGGAGUUCAUAGCAUUAACAUCAUUUCUAGUGAUUUCAAGAAGAUUAAUGAUUAAUUUGGGCCCAGUGGAUUGAUGAAUUAGCUACUCAUCACAUCUAGAUACUCAAAAGAUUAGAUCUAGAGUAUUGAAUCACUAAUUGGAUGAAAUUUGAUACUAGGAUACAAAAUUGACAUAAAAGGGUAAAACGGUAAUUUCACCUUUUGCAUUGGAUGGUUAUGAGGGUUCACAAUAUGAGGUUUGCAAUUGGACAACUAAUAAUCAAUAUCAAAUAUUGAAUUGUUUCUUGUAAUUAUAGUUAAUCCAAGAGUGCAACCAUGAAUCUAUGGUGGAGUGAUUUCAUGGUUAAUAAGCUUGAAUUAUUUUUAAUGAGAUUAAGAAUAAUUCUAACUUUAUUGGAGCUUGAAUUAUUUCUAUGUCCUCGAUGAGAUCAGCUAUCUACAGUCUAUACUGAACCUGAAAUGGGUGGAAAGGAGGGUGGUGAGAUUAUAAAAUCCCCAUGAGUAAACAGACAUCAUCAUAAACAUCUAGAGUUGAGUACAUGGAGACAAUAAAGUAAAUCAUCAUAAACUGGGUUAUAGCAUUAGAACACAUUUUGUUCAAAACACGUAAAUAAGCUUAUGAAUCUCAUAAAAAUCUAGGCUUGUGCCAUAAAUCCAUUUUCGGGGACACCUUGGCCGAGGCAUCCUACCGAGACCGCCAAGGUUAUUAAAAUUCACAUUUCUCAUAAAUCAUGUUUUUGUUUUGAAAACAUAGCCGUUCCUUGGUGUUGGUUGAGUUCCCCCUCACAUGGUGGUUUAGCGUGAAGUGAACCCUAAACUUUACCCCAGGAGAUACCCUACGCGCCUCUCCUUUCGAGGUAAGAAUAUAAUGGGGUUUACCGUGCCCCUCUAAAGACUGGUCCACAGAAACCCCCUACUGCAGUGAUUAAUUAAUAUAUAAUCCACCAUAUAAUAAAACUCAAUAACAUGAUAUGGCAAUUUUGGAAUUCGCAAUUUUUCAAGGAAACCAAACAAUUCGCAUUUCAAUACAAUUGCCAACUAGCCAAUCAUGCUCGAUUUAUCAUAAGCCAAUCAAUUUAAACAAUCAAAUUGCCACAAUUAACAGUUCCGUGUACUCUAUUUUUCAAAAUCACUAUUAAUUUCAAAACAAUUUAUAAUUUAAUUUCAUUGAAACUCAUUUAUUCAUAAAACAUGAAAAUUUAUCUUUUUAAAUUCCUUUUUCCAUAGAAUUCAUGAAAGCAUCUAAAAACCACCCUAGAUAAUUAAAAUGACAGUAAGUUUACUCACAAUGUCUAGAAUGCAGACUUUCGAAGCACUCUGUCUACUGGUCCUCGGAUGCAAUUUCCUUGCCUUUAUCGGAGGACUCACCACCUUGACACAGUACAAAAUCGAGAGUUUCACCAAGUUGGUACUAAAUCAAAAUUAAACUAAUUUAGACUACCAAUGCAUGAUAUGGAAUGCAAAAAUGCACUGGUAACUAUCUAAACCCGGUAUUGGCCUAAUUCGUCUUAUCACCCGAUUAAAUUCCUAACGGGUCCGUUUAAACUCCAAUUUAAUUCUUUUCAGUUUCUAUACCUCAAUUGCACCCAAAUUAACUUAAUGUCCCUCAGUGUGGUGCAAAUUAUCAGUCCCAACAGCAAAUUACGAAAAUACCCCUAGUGGGUAAAAAUUCGUAUUUUUGCUCCGAAAAUUCCCAUUAUUUUUCUAGGCUCAUAAUUCAUUAUUCCUUAACCAAUUCUCCUAGAAUAAAAUCAAACUCAUCCUCACUCACUACAUGGUAAAUUCAGCCAUUAAUGGUUGGGGGAGAAAAUAAAUUCUUUUCUUGUUGUUUUGUUUCUAAAUAUGCUAAACUAACUAAAAACACUAACAUAAAUUAAAAUCAAAUAAAUCCAACAACUUUCUCUCUCCUAACCCAUUUUUUCAGAAUUGAAUUCAUCAUGAAAACAUGUAAUUUAAUCAUGGAAAAUAAAGAGAAAUGCUUGGGAAUAAGAAAACUCAAGCUUAAUAGAAAAAACUCACCUUUUUCACUUAAUUUCCUUGAAAAUUCACACUUUUUCUUUGAUUUUCU